rnacentral:lncRNA from 1 species
UUCCUGAGGUCAGAUCUCCAUCCCGUCUCCUAUAUAUUUUUCCUCGUAUCCCUGUUCAUCCGUAAUUCAUUUUACUGAAUAUCUUCCUUUUCCCUUUUUUUCUGUGUAUUUCUUUUACGCCCAAAAUCACUAGGAGUUGUCCAAUAAAAUUGUCAUCCCCACCGAUCAACCACACCUCCAAUGUCUCGGCCCUCUAGGAGAUCCAGAUCCAACUGACCUUAUCAAUGCAGAAACCAACAGGAUCCCCUUUAGAGCCGAAAAUUUUUCUUCAGAUCUGUGGAAAGACACCUUCCGGUCUUGGCCUAGCCCUACCGUAGGGUGGAAAGACUGGUUCUUGAGAGUCAGCAAUUCUUAUGAAGUCCAGUGGGGCGAAAGGAAGCUAGCCCAAUGCAUUAGGUUAUCCAUUGCCGAUAUGCACAGGAACGAGUCACUGCUGAUAGCUGCGUCCUACUUUUGGUCAGACACCCUCAAUGCUUUUGUCUUUGGCCACGGCCCUGCUUCUCCUACCCUUGCCGAUGUAGCCAUGCUCACUGGUCUAGAUAUAUCUUCUGCCGAUAGGACCCACUUUUUUGAUACUGCCCCUAGUGCCAAAGUGGAGACUCGCGCUAUCGGCGGUUGGUCAGGGUACAUUCAGAAGUAUCGUGGGAAAGGGCCUGUCACCAUAAAGGAGCAAACCACCUUUCUGAACAUGUGGCUGGACAAGUUUGUAUUCUGUGGUCGAUCGGCAGGACCGACUUCCGUCUAUCUAUCGGCACCAGAGAGACUGGCUAACGGUGGCCAAUUUCCUCUCGGCCGAUACUUGCUUGGCGCUGUUUACCAUCUUCUCCAUCAGGUAGCCCAGAAACUCCUGCUUGGCCAGUCCAUCGGCAACUUGGGAGGCCCUUGGUGGUUUAUUAACAUGUGGCUCAAUCUGCACCUGCAUAAGCGCCUUGAUUUCAACUUGUUCACACAACACUUCCCAAGAGAUAUAGCCGAAAAUCAUGUGUUGGGUGAAGAGGAAUCGGCAACACGUGCCCCCUUGAACUUUGGCGAAGCUGUCAUAGUUCUACCUGGUUCAGGGAGUAAUCCGGAUCAGAUCGGCCAAUUCUUCCAGACUCUGUAUGAGGGUUUGGCCAGAGAUGAACGAACAUGGUUGGCUUAUGAUGACCCAGACAGUAUGCUCCCUCUAACCUUCAAUCUAUUUGAUGAAGCUCUUGACAGGGAUAAUGAGGUGAUGAUGGCAAUUGUGACUCCCAGAGUAAUACCAGUGAAUUUCUUUGGUAGCACAAAAACCUCCCCCCAAACCUAUGAAUUUUACAAUCCAUCGGCAUUAGCUCGUCAGCUAGCUUUCGGCCAGUUGCCGAUUGCACUUCCUUAUGCCGAUGUGAUAAAACCCAGAGAACCCAUCACCAACUUUCUUGAGUGGAUUCGAGUAGCCCAACUACCACCAAAUGCCGAUACAGAUGUAGAUCUGUCAGAAUGGGUCCCAGCUGCCUUUAUCACUCAAGCAUACAAGUUAUGGUGGGCAGAAUGGAAAGAGCAUUUAUUCUGCAGAUCGGCCCUUUCAUACCGCGGCAUGAUCGACUCCGAAUACAAAGUUCCCGAUGACACUGUAAGUAUCUCAAACCGAUGUUUCAUUUUCUCAAUAUUAUUUCCAUCGGUAGCUUACCCUUGUAUUCCUUUUGCAGGUUGACAACAUCCCCCCAUCGGUUAGCAGGAGUGGCAAGCCGAUCGACUUGUUUCCAUCAGGCCCGAUUUCCUCAAUCAGCCACAAUGCUCCCACUCUGGCUUCCAUCGUGCAUCGGGGUGUGCGCCUCAGGAAAGUCACCACCAGGAGAACCCAGACAUCACCAACGGUAGCUGCUCCCACUCUGGCGCGGGCUUUCAAGGCAAUUUGUCAAAUCUUUUUCUUUUACGCUGACUAUCUUUAUAUUGGCUAUAUUUAUGCUUAUAAACCCUUGUUCGUUAUUGCAGCAAACCGGUGCAUCGGCAAAAGCCAAGCGUGAAAGUGCCGAUGCCCCCCAGUCUAGCCAACCAAAGAGAAAGGGCACCAAAGGUGCUAAGACUGGAACAAAGCGCCAGAAGGUAGCAACUCCCCCUCUUCCUCCGGUGUCUCCAAUUCCGGUGGAGUCCUCUCCUUCUUCUCCAGAAGCCCAGACACAGCAAGCACCGUCUCCCCAACCAAUGCAGGAAGCACCACAGAUAGAAGAACCCCAGCAGGAAGAACCUCAAACAGAAGGUACAUCGGCUGAUGUGGGUGAACAAACAACUGGCCCGGUGGGUCCAAUUACAUCAUCGGCGGUUCCCCCGAUUCAGACAACUGUUGUUCCUUCUUCAGGUAACAUAUUUUGACAAUACUAUUGCCGAUGAACUUAUUCUCAUUUAGUCUCAUAACCUUUCUUGACUUCUUUCAGUCGAUAUCGUCUCAUCGGCAACCUUAGCCGAUCAACCUGUAGUUCCAUCGGCAUCUUUGGCCGAUCAGCCUGCAGCUCCGUCAGCACCUCCCAGUUCAAGGCAAGAGAUCGCCUUGAAGCAAGUAAGUCAUCCAACUUCCCAUCGGUAUUGUUUGGCGAAGCUUCGACCAUAAAAAUGACUCAUUUCAUCCUCAUUUUCAGGAACAAGAUUCUCCCGACAGCUUAUUCUCCUUCGCCAUUGAUAUCUCUGAAGAAGAAGGUGAAGAAGCAAGCUCCUCUCGGGCAGUUGGGACUGUAUCGGCAGAAACCAGGGCUAAGCUAGAAGAGCUAUCGGCCAUACUUCAUCAAGACACAACUCAACUGGUCAACGAUUCUGACCCAGCCAAGGCCCUGUUCAAGACCCUUAGAGGCCAAAUUCCUGCCGAUGCCGAAGAAAGCCUCUUCCAGGCUGCACAUCUGGAAAGCCACCAGCUGCAGUACCAAAGAGCCAUUCGGCGCCUUGCCGAUAGAACUGCUCAAACCCAUCUUUCUGAGGAGAUGAUGAAAGAAAAACUCUUGGCCAAAGAGAAGCAUAAGAACAUCGGCACCUUAAAGUCCUUAGGUGAUGCAUUGAAGCAGAAAAUCUCUGAUCUAUCGGCAAAAAGAGAAGCCCUGCUGGCCGAACUCAAGCAAGUAGAGGAUGCUUUGUCUCAGGCCCAGCAAGAAGAGAGCCAACUGCCGGAGACUAUCAAGCACCUCGAGCAAGAACGAAAUGCCCACGGUCGCAAAGCGCUGCAAUUGAAGAAGAAGCUGAAGCCGAUAGAAGGUUCUGCCGAUGAUGAUACCAAAGAGAUAGAAACAGCCAACCAGAUCCGUCUACGCGCCAUAUCGGCAAUCCAAGCGCUGCUGAAUAUCUGAAGCUCUCAUCGGCAACACACCUUUGCCUUUCUGCAUUUCAACUUUCUUAAAGUCUUAGUCUAGCCGAUAGGACUGUUAUCGGCAUCUUUUGAAACAUUAAGUCCAUCCCCAGAUACACUUCAAUCCAGCCGAUAGGAGUGUUAUCGGCAUUUAAACUUUUAUGCAUCGACCCAUAUGCUAGGGUAGUACUUCUUUAAAUAUUUGUCAUUUAAUGCUCUGGGAAAUUCAACUCCUUCGAGAGUUUCUAGAAUAUAAGCAUUACUAGGAGCCGAUCGACUUAUCCGAUAAGGACCUUCCCAAUUAGGAGACCAUUUUCCAAACUUCGAACUUUUAGUCCCAACUGGCAAAAUUAAUUUCCAUACCAAAUCCCCAUCGGCAAACUCCUUAGCCUUCACUUUCUUAUCAUACCAUCUAGCAACUCUCUUCUUAUUUUCUUCUAUACUCAAUAAAGCUUUUAACCGAUGCCCUGCUAGAUCAUCCAAUUCAUCGGUCAUCAAAGUGGCAUAAUCAUCGGCAGUUAAUUGAUCUUGAAAAGAUAAUCGCCUAGAUCCAGCCUUAAUUUCCCAAGGCAACACCGCAUCAUGUCCAUACACCAAUUGAUAAGGUGACACCUUGGUUGAUCCAUGACAAGCCAUCCGAUAAGACCACAAUGCUUCAUUUAAUAAUGUAUGCCACCGCUUAGGAUUUUCUUCAAUCUUUCGUUUAAUAAGCUUGAUAAUUCCUUUGUUAGACGCCUCGGCCUGCCCAUUGGCUUGAGCAUAAUAAGGAGAAGAAUUCAACACUUUAAUCCCCAUACCGAUUGCGAAUUCAUCAAACUCCCCCGAUGUGAACAUAGUGCCCUGAUCGGUAGUAAUUGUUUGAGGGAUCCCAAAUCGGUAAAUAAUAUGCUCCUUUACAAAAUCAAUCAUAUUGGCCGAUGUGACUUUCUUCAAAGGAAUAGCUUCAACCCACUUAGUGAAAUAAUCAGUGGCAACUAGAAUAAACUUAUGCCCUUUGCUAGAUGGUGGAUAAAUCUGGCCGAUCAGAUCGAUAGCCCAUCCCCGGAACGGCCAAGGCUUUAUGAUAGGAUUCAUAGCCGAUGCGGGUGCUCUUUGAAUGUUUCCAAACUUUUGACAACCUUGACAUCCCUUGAAAUACUUAAAGCAAUCCUCGAGUAUGGUCGGCCAAAAAUAUCCAUUCCUUCGAAUCAUCCACUUCAUCUUAAAAGCUGACUGAUGUGCUCCACACACUCCUUCAUGGAUUUCUCCCAUCAAACUUCUAGCUUCAUCAUCACCUAAGCAUUGGAGAAGAAUUCCAUCAAUAGUUCGAUAAUACAAUUCAUUUUCGAGGAGCACAUAUUUGGUUGCUUGAAAUCGAACUCGUCUUUUCAACUUUUUUGGAUGGAUCUUUUAGAUAAUCAAUAAUUUCUUUCCUCCAAUCAUCGGCACCGAUCGCCGAUAUUGCAUUAAUCAUAGGCUGAUAUCCCGAGGCAUGCUGAGCUAACCGAUUGGCGUCUUCAUUAUGCAAUCGGGGAACAUACUCUAAUCGGAAAUCCUUGAAUUCCUUUAACAGUUGCAUGCUUUUCUCGAAAUAAGUUAUGAGAACUUCACUUCGGCAUUCAUAGCUCCCGACCAAUUGAUUUAUGACCAACAUAGCAUCCCCGAAGAUCUCAACGGCAUCAGUACGAACUUCUCUUAACAACUCCAAUCCCUUGAUCAGAGCUUGAUAUUCAGCCUGAUUAUUUGUUGACGUGGCAACAAUCGGUAAGGAAAACUCAUACUUCCUCCCCUUAGGGGAAACUAAUACAAUGCCGAUUCCUGCACCCCGGUCACAGGUAGAUCCGUCAAAGAAAAGCGUCCAGGAUACAAUUUCCAAGGCUUCCACUACACCGCAAUGCUGAGUUACAAAAUCGGCCAUAAUCUGCCCUUUGACUGCCUUGGCCGAUUCGUAACGUAGAUCGAACUCCGACAGCGCUAAAAUCCAUUUACCGAUCCUGCCACUCAUAAUCGGCAUGGAUAGCAUGUACCGGACCACGUCGUCUUUGCAAACAACAGUGCAUUCGGCCGAUUGCAGGUAAUGCCUUAGUUUGAUACACGAAAAAUACAAGCAUAGGCAUAGUUUCUCGAUGGCCGAAUACCUGGUUUCAGCAUCAAUCAACCUCCUACUCAAGUAGUAAAUUACCCUCUCUUUCCCUUCAAAUUCUUGGACCAAAGCUGAACCGAUAACCGUCCCAUCGGUAGAUAAAUACAAUCUGAAGGGCUUUCCUUGUUGAGGUGGAACUAGAACUGGAGGAUUUACUAGAUACUUCUUAAUUUCAUCCAGAGCCAACUGCUGUUCUUCUCCCCAAAUAAAUUCUUGAUCGGCUUUCAAUUUAAGAAGAGGACUGAAAGCACGAAUCUUACCAGAUAGAUUAGAUAUAAAUCUCCUGAUAAAAUUUACCUUGCCGAUCACGGACUGGAGCUCGGUCUUGUUGGUAGGGGCCACUAUUUUAUUGAUGGCAUCAAUGGAUCUUCGACUAAUUUCAAUACCCCUUUGAUGUACCAUGAAACCAAGAAACUGCCCUGCCGAUACACCAAAUGCACACUUGUUGGGAUUCAUCUUCAAUCCAUGCUUCCUUGUGCACUCUAACACUUUUCGUAAAUCGGCAAGAUGCUUUGAGAAAUCUCCAGACUUGACCACCACAUCAUCAAUAUAAAUCUCCACCAGCUUGCCGAUGAACUCAUGAAAUAUAAAAUUCAUAGCCCUUUGAUAAGUAGCACCAGCAUUCUUCAACCCAAAGGUCAUGACUAUCCAUUCGAAUAACCCAACAUGACCAGGACACCUGAAUGCGGUUUUUGGAAUAUCUUCCUCUGCCAUGAAUAUUUGAUUGUAUCCCGCAUUACCAUCCAUAAAGCUGAUGAUCCGAUGACCAGCCGCAGCGUCAACCAGCAGAUCGGCGACAGGCAUUGGGUAUCCAUCCAUCGGCGUAGCUUUAUUGAGAUUCCUGAAAUCAAUGCACACCCGAAGCUUCCCGUUUUUCUUGUAAACCGGAACAACAUUGGAAAUCCAUUCGGCAUACCGACACUGCCGAAUAAACUUAGCUUCAAUGAGUUUGGUGAUUUCGGCCUUAAUAUCAGGUAGAAUGUUAGGAUUACAUCGGCGAGCUGGUUGCUGAUGUGGCCGAAAUCCAGACUUGAUGGGUAACCAAUGUUCAACAAUUGAUCGGUCUAAACCAGGCAUCUCGGUAUAAUCCCAAGCAAAGCAAUCUUUAUAUUCCUUUAACAAACUAGUCAAUUGUUGCUUACACUCAGGAUCUAAUUUAGCACUAAUAAAAGUAGACCUAGGCUUAUCACCACUACCUAUAUCUACUUCUACCAAAUCAUCGGCCGAUGUGAAUCCCUGGCCUAAUUUUCCAUCAUCGGCGAAUCUAUCCAUUAAAAACCGUCGUCGGAACCGACUGCUUGGAUCGGUGGAAUCUCGUAAUCGGCAACUUUGAGAAAAUCUUUCUCCCAAACUUCUCCUGAAAUGCACCUAGUCCUUUCAUAGGUGUCCGCUUCUGCCGAUGCAAUGACAUAAGAAGAAUCUCCUGGGACAAUCUCAAUCUUGUCACCUACCCACUGAACCAAGCAUUGGUGCAUUGUAGAUGGGAUGCAACAAUUGGCAUGAAUCCAAUCUCUUCCCAACAAUAAGUUGUAAGCACCUUUUCCACUGAUCACGAAGAAAGUUGUCGGCAAGGUUUUGCUGCCGAUAGUCAACUCCACACAUAUUGCCCCUUUGACUGGAGACACGUUUCCUUCAAAAUCCUUGAGCAUCAUAUCGGUCUUGGUCAAAUCCUGAUCCCCUUUCCCAAGCUUCCGAUACACUACGUAUGGCAUAAUAUUAAUAGCCGCCCCACCAUCAACUAGGAUUUUGGUCAUUGGCUGCCCAUCAACUCUGCCUUUGACGAACAAAGCUUUGAGAUGCUGUCUUUCAUCAUCGGCAGGUUUCUCAAAGAUAGCUGUCAUAGGAUCCAGAGCCAGCUAAGCUAUCUAAUCGGAAAACUCUAGCUCACCACCGCUGGAUGGUGCAAGAAACUCCAUCGGCAACAUAAAGACCAUGUUGACUCCUGCCGAUGGACCUUCCUUCUUAGUGUCCGGUGGCUGCUGACUUCCAGAGUUCUCGCCCUUGCUUAGCUCCUCUUGCCUUUCACGUUGCAAUCUCCUUUUCUGUGUCUUGGUUAAUCCUUCAGGACACCAUGGAGGAAGUGGCUUUUGCCUUGCUGCCGGGCGUUGGUUCUCCCUUGACUCCAUACGAUGCGUGUUAGCAUCCCUGAAAAAUAUGAACUCAUUGGGAACCCGCGCAUUAGCCAUCUCCUCGAGCUCUUCCUGGUUCCUGGGAAAAUAUUGGACAUGGUCACCAAGCCUAUCAUGCACGCUAAGCCUGCCCCCCAGCCGAUCAUGAACUGACGCCCUUCCUCUGAUUGGCCCAUUAAAUCGCCGAUCAUCAUCAUGAUAACGUCGAUCGGUCCUAUCGUACCGAUCAUAACCGUUGCACUCAGGGCAGUUUCUGACAGUAGGAAGCUUGAUAUUUUCCUCCCAACAAUGGAUGAAGAACGGACAAUUCCAAUGAUCUCUGUGCCGAUUCCACUCCUGUCGACGUCUUUCUUCUUCCCGUCGAUAAUCUUCUUGCUGGCGCCGAUACCGAUCUUCCCGUUGCUGCCAAUUUUCCCGAGGCCUUCUAUGAGUUAUAACGAUACCAGACCGAGGAGGCCUUCCUGAGCUAGUUCCUUCCUGGACCAAGCCCUUACUUUUUGCAUCGGCAGUAGUAACUUGAUGCUGAGGAUCUACCGAUGCACUCUUCUCAGCUGUCUCCGAUGUUAAGACCUUAGCCUUCCCCUUGGCAUCCAACAUGUUUGUCGGGAAAGGGUGUUGGUCUAUCUUCAUCGGCUUCUGGGCCUUGGAACUAUCAAACUUGAUUCUCCCAGACUCUAUAGCUGAUUGCAGCUGCUGUCUGAACACUUUGCACUCAUUGGUGUCAUGAGAAGUUGCAUUAUGCCACUUGCAAUAUUUCAUCCUCUUUAACUCUUCAGCCGAUGGGAUCACGUGAUUAGAGGACAGCUUGAUCUGUCCUUCCUGAAGCAGAAAGUCAAAAAUCCUAUCGGCCUUAGCGGUGUCAAAAGCAAACUUCUCAGGUUCCUUCUGCCCAAAAGGGCAAGACAUCGGCUUCUUGUUUUUUACCCAUUCUGCCAAGCCAAUGACCGGUUCCUCAUCAGAGUCUGAGCUUAUCGCUUCAUCAACAAAUGACACUUUCUUAUUCCAUGCUCUUUUGGGCUCGAAAGGCUUGAUGUCUUGAUCAGAAAUCCUCUACACCAAAUGACUUAAACUUUCGAACUCCUGAGAGGCAUACUUAUCCCUGAUAUGUGGCAACAGACCCUGGAAAGCCAAAUCGGCUAGCUGCCGAUCAUCCAGAACCAAGCUAUAGCAUUUAUUCUUGACCUCCCGUAUCCUCUGCACAAAACCCUCCACCGACUCAUCAUUACGUUGCCUCAACUUGACCAAGUCGGUGAUUUUCUUCUCAUGAACCCCAGAGAAGAAGUAUUUGUGGAAUUGUUUCUCCAGAUCGGCCCAAGUAAUUACUGAGUUGGGAGGUAAUGAUAUGAACCAGGUAAAGGCCGACCCAGACAAUGAUGAUGAAAAUAGACGAACCCUCAGUUCGUCCCUAUUACCGGCUUCUCCGCAUUGAAUGAUGAACCUGUUGACAUGCUCCAUGGUCGACGUGUCAUCUUGCCCAGAAAACUUAGUGAAAUUCGGAACCUUGUAUCGAUGCGGAAGCGGGAUCAAAUCAUAUGCGGGAGGAUACGGUGUCCGAUAAGAGUAAGUGUUGACUUUGGGUUUUAUCCCAAAUUGUUCCCUCAUUACUUCAGCAAUCUUAUCGGCCCAAUAUGCAUCGGCAUCCUGCCGAUGAGGCGGCUGCAGUUCCGGCACUUGGUGGCGAACCUCCACGUGUCUGUUCGGGACGUGAUCUGCACGGAACAUUGGAUUGAUCACCUGCCCUUCAAUCUGCGGACCACCAAACUGCUGUCCACCGAGUUGCUGUCCCCCGAGUUGCUGUCCGAAAUUCAUUGGCUGGUUGGGAAUCCCCUGACCUUGGAACCCGGGAUAGACCUGCCCUUGCUGGAACCCUGUAGUCUGGUAACUCUGCUGGGGCAAUUGUGGAAAGACUUGCUGUCCAAGCCAUCCAUUAUUAGCGUUCAUCGGCAUAGGUGCUGCCGAUGAUUGGUAAUUGGGUACCAUCAUUGAAUUGACAUACCCCGACUGUGCCAUAGACCUCUGUUGCAUCAGCAUUGAAUCUGCCGAUGCAUUAGGCAUUUGGAACAUUGAAUCUUGAGGAUUUCUAGUGUGAGGCCUUGCAGUGGUAGUUGUGGUAUACCGAGGACUCUGGUUCACCGGCGCAUUGGGAGGCGCCGAUGUCAUAGGAGUCUUGCCCCUCAUGUCAGUUAUUUGUGAUGUUCCUGGUGUCAACUCUGGAGGCAUACCGUAACCCCACCAGUUGGGAGGAGGAGUCAACCCUGACAUUGCCGAUGCCAACAUAUCUGUCGUCAGUUUAUGCUGCCCAAUUGAAGUCUGUGGGUUGGUUAUCAUCGGCACAGAUAAUGCACCAGUAGUUCCCGAUGUACUUGGAGGGACGGCAGAUUGUGCACUUGCAGCCGUCAAAGCAGCCGAUGGAGCCGUGACCUCUGGUGCCGUUGGCUGAUGGUGAGAGGGGCCCACAUAAUCUGGUGGGAUUUGUCCUUCCUUGAAAGUUCUUGCCACGGCAUUGAAAACCGUAUUAGACAGUACACCAGCUUGGUUGAUCAAAGCUCGGUUGAUAGCGCUGUCAACCAUAUCUUGAAGCUUGCCAGGAUUGGCUUCGAAGGUAAUUUGCCGUGGUGCCGGCAGUGCAUCUUUCUGGACCACCUCGCCGCUCCUGUUUAUGCUGAAAGACCUCAGGCAUUGCAGCUUGAACUCUUCCAUGGCUUGGGCAAUAGCUUGCUUCUGCUCAUCCUUGAGAUUGGCCUCCGUCACGGGGAUGACGUUCUCCUGAUCGAGGUCAGAGAUCGACAUGUUGAUCUUGAUCUUGAAUCCGUCCCACUGGGCGUGCCAAAAGAUGUGUGGAUGCAAAACUGAUCUGCAAACACAAAGGGCUAAUACCCGAUUCAAACGUUAAGGCGUGCCAGCCGAUUUGACCUCACUAUCGGCAAAGGUGAUAACUCGAAUACUUUAGUCCUGACAACAGCGAUGCGCCCGGAUGUCACGGCUAAGCGGUACUCACGCGGAACUCGAGAACACGCCGAGCUUAAGUCGACGAAUUCCUAAGAACUCGUAAUAAAAGGAAAAAGUAUGACGAAGUCGUCGAAAAGUAGAUGCUGGAAUAUGAGUAAAAAAUGUGUGUUUGAUUGAUUGAUAAAUUGAUUUCAUUACAAGGCCCUAGGGUUCAUAUUUAUACCCUGCUCAAAGAGCUACAAUUAAACACGACUAGAAUUCGAAUUCCAAAUUACACGGAAUCCGUAUACAAAACAACUUAAAUAAAUAAGGAAAUAACAAAGCUAUCUCCCGUGACGAACUAAAAUUCUUCCAUAAACCGAUCAGCAGUUUCCAGACUCCUCCUCCGUAUCAUCGGCAGACUCCUUACCAUGGUCAUCGGCAGACUUCUUACCAUGGUCAUCGGCAGACUCCCCCAUUAUAGCCAUCGGCAUAAACACAUCACUGCCUGCGGACCUAGUCACAUUCAACCUCUCCUUCAUCGGCAACCAUCCUCAUCGGCAACUCACCCUGUAAACCGCAUACUGCCACCUUAUCCCGUCAUCCUAGACACGUGCCCAAAAACGGUAUCAACAGCGUGCUCGAAGGCGAACCAUUCUUCAACAAUGAAGGUGAAUUGACGGUUCGAUCUAAGUUCGAGAAGUUUAGGAGAUGGAAUACUAUGCUACGGCCGACGGAUUACGCCCACGCAGUAGAUUGUGAUGUGUAGCGGUUUCGUCGGUUUCAUAUGUGUAUAUGUGGAUGAUGAGAACAACUAAGUGAAUUUAUAUAUUAUGUCGUGUGUUAUGUAUUGAACUUCUAGUCUUCUCUUUGUUUCUGAAAUAAAAUCUGGAAUAUGGAAUUUGUAAAUUGUUUAAAUUCAAAUGCAGCAAUGGUUCUGCAAAGAAUUAUUAUUUUUUAUUUAAAAACACUUAACUUUGGCGGACGCGUUUGCCCGCUGCGGAAAAGAGAAAACAUCCGCCACGAUUAUUCUUUCUACAGUAGUGUCAGGACGUCUAGUUUUUUAAAUACGGAGGGAGUAUAUAUAUAGUCUGCAAAACAUGUUAUUAAUACGACGCAUUACAAAUCCCCGUGCAUGUAUACAUAAUAAUAUCUCGAUCAGCAGGUUACUAGCUUGAGCUGCAGUCAAUCACUCAGGAGGGCAAGGCCCGCUCUUGGGCUUGUUGUAAUCAUGCGUGCAGUUGGAGCUCCCGGGGUACUUCCCUUCGGCUACCGUCGGAAUGGGGGACUCCGAGACGACAGGAAUGCCGUGGCCUCCUCCCUCGCCCUGCAGGCGUGCCGCGGCAACGACGACGGUGCCGCCAGCGGAAGAAGCGACCAAAGUGAUGACCAUCACAAGCGUCAGAGCCAUCGCGGCCGCCGCCGGCUUCCUCCUUGCAGCUUCCAUCUCGUCUGAGUCUCUCAGGUGUACAAAUGUACGACGAGGUAUAUGUGGUACGAACACUUGAUCACUGAUGAUCGAUGGUUGGGAAUUGAGAAGCUAGGGUGUGAAGCAACUAAAUUUAUAGGCAUGGAUGGGCAUAGAUAGCGUGGUAAAUUGCAACGAACUUAUUAGGAGCUCACCGAGGAAAGCGCCACGGAAGUUCAGAGUACAUGAGAAAUGAGCUUUCUUUGUUUCUUUCGGCAAAGAAUUAAGAAACCUGAGCAACCAGUGGAUGAGUGGACUGAGAAUCUUUGUCACGCGAAACACAGCUGUAGUUUUUUUCAUCAGGAUAGCAAAUUCGUGGUUGGUUAAUUGACGAACGAACAACAACGCAGCUAGCUUAGCUAGGAAGUAUGCACUGCGUUGCAAGUAAAGCAUCCUCCACGCGCUCGCUAGUAACUACUCACUAGUCCUAGCAAGUGGAAUUUAGAGUGAAAAUGUCUCGAAAUUUUCGUGCGCGCAUGCGGUCAAUGCAUGGGAAUCUCGGAAUGGUGACGAACAUGCAUGUUCGAAUGUCAAGACGAAUACAUGCAUCUCGUGCCCAGCACGAAACGUUGGCAUUGUCUUUGCCUUAGUGCGCCGUUUCUUGGGUUGCUUCAGGUUCAGGGCAUCUGGGAUUCUGGGCAGUAAUUUACAGUAAUAUAAACUUCGCGGCGGUGUUGGAUUUGAUAUUACUCCUACUCCAGUUGUUCACAUUCUCAAGUGAACUUCACACCAAAUGCUUUAGUCAUCCGGAUGAACCAUUUCUUGAUAUCCCAUCCACAUAGGGUGUAUUUGGUUGCUCGAAUAGUGUUGUGUAGACUCAUUGUAUGUCCUGUACAGGAGGAAGCAGGCCGAGAGGAUAUAUGGAGUCUAAAAAAAUGUGUUUGGAUAUAGGAUGUGGAGUACUAUUGUCUACAUAUACAUGAGCAGGUACAAUAUAUCUAGCUCGAGGCUGAUGUGUGGGCCUCCACCUUUUCAUUGCAUUUGUCUGUUAGGCGUAUCUGCUUAUCCUACAUCUAAAACCAUUUUUAGAUGUUAUUGGGUUGUACAUGUAUCAUGGUAAAAUUUACUUCAAAUUCUACUUAAGUCUAUCUCAACAUAGGUAGAUUGAUACGAAUUCUAUUAUAUCCAAUCAAGGCCUAACUGGAGCGGCGAAUCAAGCAUGCUCAUAGUAUCUCUCCUCUCUCUCCGUAAUAAUAUUAAAACACAAUCAGUCUCUUUGUACGUUGCUUUCAGUUUCACCCGUCCUGUCCCAUGAUUUUUACUUUCUAGCUAGACUAGUAAAUAUGCCCGUACGUUGCAACGGGAGAAAAACAUCAAAUAGUCAUAAAAAGUGAUGACAUCAUAUUACAUAUCUAUUUAUAUUUAUUUUUUUUAUAAAAUUUAAAGUCCAUAAUUUAUUUUAUUGAUAACCAUGACAUCUAUGGUAUGAGAUAGUUAAUAUUUACAAUAUUAUAUAGCUUGUAGAGGCUAGCAUUUCCAACGGUAGAAAAUGUAAAGGGAGCUUUUGCAUUGGGAACCCUAGAAAAUAUUCUAUUUUUUUUUUCUUUCCUACAAGCGUUAAAGAAACGGACAGACCGAUUCCGGGCGAGACACGAGUAAAGAUGGCAACGGGUACCCGAGACCCGAAACCCGACGGGUUUUUACCCCAUUAGGGCAUGAAUAUGGGUCAAUUUCUCUAUCCAUGGGUUUGUUAAUAGGCAAAAAGUCAAACCCAAUGAGUUUAUGGGCAUGGGUCUAGGCAUAUAGUACCCAAACCCAUAGGUUUUUUAAACCCGUUCCAAAUCCUUUAAUUUAUAUUAGCAAAUAAUUUUAUAUAUUCACUCAAUAUAUUUAGAAUUUGUGGCAUAGAAAAAUAUUCAACAAACCUCAUCUUGUUUAUGGGCGGGGACCAACUAUCAAUAGAAAGACAAAAAAGAACAAGCUGCUACUCUCAUCUUGAUUCUGAGGCUGCCGAACAGCUUUGAGCCUUUAUGGGCCUGCUAGGCCUCCUGGACCUAACUGUUGGAAUUUCCUGUUCUUCAGACUCCAGUGCUAGCGCUUCAUUGGCAGCAAGCAUAUUAGUCCCACCUUGCUCAGUCAUACACACCCGAAGCUGCACACACUCUAUAAAUCAAGGCAAACAGAAGCAAGGAUUGGAUAGCACAAAGCCUGCAAUUUAUCGGGCAUGGGUAACUCGCAGGUACCGUUACCCGCUUGGGCACGGGUAUGGGCUUUUUAACGGGCAUAUCUUUUUUUAACGGGCACGGGUAUGGGUUUGUAGUACCCAGGCCAUCUUGAGACACGAGACAGGGCAGAAGAAAUUUUGGCAGACUGAAAUUUUUACAAUUUAUUAGUAGGUAUAGAUUAUAUGCACACACUAGCAGUGCAUGCUCCACCCGAUUAUAAGGUUGAUUAGAUUUUUUUUUUGAAAAUGUUCUACAUACUUUUGCUUAUUUUUCUAGAAUGAAAUUUACUUUUAGUGCUUAUAGAGAUAUUUUCAGGAGAUCUAAAAUAAUUUAUUUGGAUUCUUGGUUUCCCAAUUUAUGUCUAGGGUUUUAUUGAAAUUUUUAGAAUCUUAAAGACAUUUCAUGUGGUUUAAAACCCAUGUCAAGUAUCUAACAAAAUUUUAACUAUAAAAGAUAAAACCAAUCAGGACAGGAAGGUUGAUGUUUUAAAAGUUUAGAGUAAGAUGUUUAUUUCUAUAGUUUAAUUUAAGAAGCAACAUCAGACCAUAUUUAUGAUAAUAACAAUUAAGACUUCUUACGUCUUUGCGGCCUAAACCUGUACAAUGCUGUCCGUGACUCCCUAGAGACAGAUUCGCCACGGGCUUCCUAAGGCCCAGGCCAUCUGGCCUGCUAGAGGUCGCCCCGUUUUCCGGAGACAAUUGAGAAUUUGAGAUGGGCUGCCGGCAAGUUGGUGAUGGCUUCCUUGAGAAUUUGGUGAUGUAUUCAUAGGAAUUUUGUUUUUUCCCUCUUCAUUAUUUUACUUCAAUUAAGUAGUUUAUUUUUAUUUUAUUUUUAUAUCACUCUUUCUCGUAUUCGUGAGAUGUUCCAUAGUGUAAUAUAUGUUGUUCAAGUAGUAUCUAUAGUAUGUUCCAUGAUGCGUUUUCAGUUUUCUAAUAAUAUACAUGUGGUAUAUUUUUGCUUGUUCACCUAGUAUCUAUGGAAUGUUCCACGAUAUUUCUUUUAUUUUUCAUAUAGUACCUGAAACCUAAUUGUUCAAGUUUAGUUUCUUAUUUUUUAUUUAUUUUGUUCUAUUUGAGUUUUAUUUAUUUUUCCUAGAGGUAUAUUUUACAAUGAUUAUUAUUAUACCAGUGUGAUAUAUUUUCGUUGGAAUAUUUUUUCCCUCAGACUUAAAUGUACAAGUUUUAAUAACUAGCAAAUAUGCCCGUGCGUUGCAACGGGAGAAAAACAUCAAAUAGAUAUUCUAUAUCUAUUUAUAUUUAUCUUUUUUAUAUAAAAUUUAAAGUCUAUAAUUUAUUUUAUUGAUAACCAUAACAUCUAUGAUAUUAGAUAGUUAAUAUUUAUAAUAAUAUAUAGCUCAGAGACAUAUUUAUUUAAUAAUAAAAAUAGAAAUUAGUCAAACUUUUAUCUUACUCUACUCUAAUAUUACCUCUUAAUAUACCUUAGUAUUAUAUUAAAACAUGAGAAGUUUGUUGCUAGCUUUAUUUUUUUAUUUAGAUUACGAUUCCUAUAAAAUAUGAUAUAUCAGUUAAAUAUAUGUAGAUUAUGAACACAUGGGCUUACGAAAUGUUCAUAUGACAGUGAAAGCAUCCUCAAGCAUAAAUUUAGGUAAAUUAGUAAAUUAGUAAGAUAUGCAUAAAUAGUACUAAAACUUUUACCACAAAUCAAGCAUCACAUUAAAUAGGCUACCAUAAAAUUUUCAUAAUAAUAAGAGCAGAAAACUACAAUUUCAAUUUUACACUAAAAAGCAUAGGCAAACAACUCUAGCAAAAAAAUAUACUACAAUUUAUGAUAUUUUUUUGUUCACUGCAUGGAUCUACGUAUGUGGAACUGAACAAAAUUUAUUUUGUAAUUUUUAGAUUUUUCUAUGAAUUAGUAUGCAUUUAUCAAUUUUCAACAAAUCAAUUUUAUACUAAAAAGCAUAGGCAAGCAUCUCUAGCAAAAAAAUGUACUAAAAUUUGUAAUAUUUUUUGUUUACUGCAUGGAUCUAUAUAUGCGGAGUUGAACAAUUUUUUUGUAUAAUUUUUAGAUUUUUUAUGAGUUACUACGUAGUAUUUAUCAAUUUUUAACCGAUUUAAAGAAAACUAAACUAAUAAGACAAAUAUUUUGUACCUAGGCCCCUGUACUUUCUUUAUUUUCAAUAUGUUUUAAUGUGUAUAGAAGAUUUUAUAUUGGGAACCUUGGAAAAUUUUUUAUUUUAUUUUCUUCUUGACCAGUUCGAAAUGGAAGGAGUCGGAAAUUGAGGCGGGGGAGGGCGGACAGAUUUUCAUAGGGCAGACUGAAAUUUCUACGAUUAAGUAUUAGAGAAAGAUAAAAAAAGGUUCAUCAACAUCAAAUGGUGUAAUGGUAAUUAAUAAACAUCUAAAGCUAUGUGUCUUGUGAUCAAUUCCUAUAAAAGCAUUACUUUUUUCUUCUAUUUUCUCACGAGCAGAGUCAUAGAGAGGCCCAUGACAAGCCUUUGUGGUCGCGCUAGAGAGUAGAAGCCGGCCCAAGCCUACACAGAAGCCGACCCAUUGUUGUAGAAGGAGGAUCAAAAUAAUUUUGGGGUCAAAGCAAAGUCGUAGAGAGGCUCAGGAUCAGCCUUUGUGGUUGGCGCUGGAGAGCAAAAGCCGACCCAAGCCAACGCUGAAGCCAACCCAUAGUCGCGGAAGGAGGAUCAAAAUAAUUUUGGGGACGACAUCGUGUAUUUGCCACCCGAGGUCAGUGGUUAGGGUCACCUCUCGUCGUCUACAUGGCUGCAAGCCUGCAAAGUCCCAUGUCCUCACAAUGCGCACGCCGCACGAUUGCAAGCCUGCAAGGCCCAUAUCCUCUUAAUGCGCCCGUAGGCUAAAGUUUAGCCAAAAUGUAACUAAUUGGUAGUUCACUAGUUAGCAAAAUCCAGGUAACAUGGUCAAUAGUAAUCAACAGAUAGAGCAAUGACCAAAAUAGCCUUCCACAUCCUUACGAUGCGCCAUUUGCCCCAACAUCGCAGAUUGCUAGACGCUAACACUACUAGAGCCACAGUUUGUGCAUAUAGUCAAAGUUAAUUUUUACAGGUGGUCAAUUUUUCCUCGAAGUGGCAGAUCUAUGUGCUUAUGUGGAAUCUACCCAAUCCACUUGGCCAAGAUUUCCUCAGAGGUCCUAGCACGAAUCCAUCCACUCAAAACAUCUCAAAAACCCGCAGGAACUCAAAAUCUAUCAAAAAUGUGAAGAGAAAUGGAAAGGGAAGGUGAAUGGAAAAGCCAAAUGGAUUUGAACAUAAGAACUUGGCCACAAAUUUCAGAGAAAAUAUUACUUUAUUCAUCUCUUAAAUAAGGUCAUAAUCUUUGCCAAGUUACAUAGACAAAGGUUUACUUAGAGGGACUCAAGUUCUCAUUUGCAGAUCUCCCUUAAGACUUUAGACUACAAAGUGAAAACUAGAGACAGGGAAACCUAAAUCUAGAGAGAUGGCUGGAUGGGGGCAUCCUCUAUCUUAUUAAGAGUUAUUACACAUCUCCAACAUGCCCUUAGAUAUUUUUGCUAAACCACUUAACCUAGGGGUAACAUGGUCCAACUUGAGAUCCAAGCAUCCGAUGCCCACAAGCUCUUCACCACUUUGCUUUGCCUCGAUGCAAGCUUUGCGAUGACGCCACCUACCACCUCCCGUUUCCCACUGAAACUUCAACCAGGUUUUGAGACGCAAACCCGAAAAUCAUCCAGCCGGUGAUUGGAACAAUAAACAAAACCGCUUAGAGAAGCAUAUCCGCUAUGCCUCCUCCAUGAUCUUGACACAUGUUACCGUCAUCCUCGACCACCCAAUCACCAAGUCCUCUUGCACCUCCGGUCAAUACGGUCUACUCCGCAUGUACUCUUGCUUGUCGAUGUCCCAAGUGUCAGCCAUCAUGAUCAGUCUUUCGACCAUCUUGGUUCCUCGAUCCAUGCCUCAUGUCUGUUCUUCACCGCUUCUAGUCCAUCGACACGACACAUCUCUGCUUGACCUUCUCUAUGUACGUCGAUCGUCUCUAUGCUCUAUACCUGCACACUGGCAUAGCCAAGAGACAUGUUGCACACACAUACUCACGUGAUGGUUAGUCUCCAAACUCAAUCAAAGCCAACCAUCUCUUGACAACCACUCAUAAAAACUCGACACACAAGGACACAUAUCAACCUUGUGUUCACAUGUCCAUAUCAAAAUGACAAAAGAAGACAACCAUCUCACUAUUAGAGAAUGCAAUCCACAUCCACCUUGCACAAACUACACAUGAUAUUGGCAAAAUGAGGUCUUAAAUCUUUAAAUAUAAGCAAAAUAAUUCUUUCCAAAUUUAGGUGGCAUGCAUGUAAGUAGAGAAUUACAAGUUCUGAUAAUUAGCAUGUACAUAAUGACCUAUUAGUGUUCAGUAAUUAUCCAAGAAUCUCAUCUCAUAUCGAAAAAUUUACUUGAUGUGAUUGGCCAACAAGUUUCAAACUUGCGACCUACCCAAAUACCCCCUUUAUACUUAAAUUCAAGUCAUAUUGGACAUAAUUUAGGAUACCAAGAACUAAUUAAUUAGGGUAUAUUUUUUUAUGUUUGCUCUUAUUAAAUAGAAUUUUAGGUUUCUCUGUGCAACAAACACUCCCUGCUUUAGCACUAUGAAGCCCAAGGUUAGAGGUCCUAGGUUCGAUCCCUUGCUGGUUGUCUUUUCUUGCAUGGUGCAUGAAUUUUGUAUGGUGUUGUGCGUGCGUCUGUCACUUGUGCGACUUCAUGCUCUGAUUUCCUAGGGCACUAGUAUUUAUGUUCAACGACAAGCGAUGGGCGGCGGUUUACUUUUCCUCAUUGGGACCCAAAAUGACUUGAAUUUAGAGUAUGAAGAGAGUAUAUUUACAACUCCAAAACGUUGUCCAAGAAGGCAAAAGCAAUUGCUGAACUAAAAUGGACAUCAACAGUUUAUCAUCACAAAUUUGAGGGAUGUUCACACGAUAUUGAAAAAAGAGAUUAAGAACUUACCAACUAGUAUUUCAUGAUGCGUAUCAUUUGAGGGUGGCAGGAGCAAGGAUGGGAGGAGCACUAGGAUAAGUUGAUAUUGCAAGCUCUCAAUAUAUCAAACUUCAGACCAUGGUUUAGAGCCCAGACCCUCUCAACAUUAAAAACAAGACAAAAAGAACAAGUCAUGAGUUGUUAAACCAAGAUGUCAAAUUGAGACACUACAUGAUGAGAUCUCACUGUUAGAAAGAUCAUUGCCUGAUCAUAAGCAUGUUCAAAACUUUUGCAUCAUAUACAUAUAUACUCCAUCUGUAUAUGAUUUAGAAGUCGUUUUGACAAAAUUUAGGUCAAACAUUGAGAAUAUAAAUUAUCAGUAACUUUUAAAUUAUUGAGUUUAUAAAUGUGAAAAUUAUAUGAAAAAUUAUCUUGAAAAAUACUUUUAUAAAAAUAUACAUAUAUCAAUUUUUUCUUAAAUAUUUUUAUAAAAAUAAGAUGUUAAAGUUGUGUUUUGGAGACUAUGUCGUUAUUCUAAACGACUUCUAAAUUGACUUCUAAAUUGUAUACGAAAGAAGUACGUAUAUAAGCAGAUCUCAUUGUUCUCGAUUCUCCGGCAGCCUCACUGCCUCAUCACAGCCAUGACAUUCUGGGAUUUGACCGUGAUGGUCCGAAUUUCAGCAAAAUUCGUCCAUUUCGGUUGGGACCAAAUUUUUUCCUAAAAUAAAUUCCAGAAAUGUACUACUACGGUAGCACAAAAAUAUACCACUAGCAUAGUAGCAUAUUCAUCAAGCAUUUCACUGUCAGCUUUUACCUCUUGUGGACGCCAAAUGUCUUUAAAUACACCUCACUCCUCUCCCCCUCACACACCUCUCCUCAACUGAAAACCUCAAAGGGAGGGGCGGUCAGUGGUCGCCUCGCCGUCACGAAAUCCACCCUCCUCCCCCGGCGCUCUCCACUCCGCGCCAUGCUUCCGCGGCCGAGCCAGAGAAGCAUCUUCCACAUCGGGGAGGAGGGUGGCGACGAGUCCGACGACCACCGCAGCGCCGACGAGCCUGUCAAGAACACCGAUACUACACGUAUCCUCGCAGGGCGCCGAGACCACGGGCGUCAACUGCGAAAGCAAGACUCCGCCGUCGAUGCGGUCGGCGUCGGGCUGCAGAUCCUGGUCCAGACGAACCUCCACCACACGCGGGCGUCGCCGCACUCGCAUAUCGUCCUGAAGCAGGUGGUGGUCCUGCCGCCGACGACGACGGUGGCACGCCGCCACCGCCGUGGACCGUGCAGCAGCUUCUUGAGCGCCUGCUCCCGCUGCAGGAAGGAGCUCAGCAGCAAGGACGUGUACAUGUACAGGUGCGUGCGACUAGCAAACACAAAAAACUCCGAGAUGUCUGGUCUGAAACGAAACCGUUCAUUUCUCAUUGUUCUUGCGUGUUCUGCUUUGUGCAGAGGCGACCAGGGGUUCUGCAGCGAGGAGUGCCGGUGUCAGCAGAUCUUGGCAGACGAGGCGACGGAGCGUGAAGCCAUGAUCAAGAAGGAGCGGAUGCGGCGAGGGUUGCCUCGCCAUCUCCACCACGGGCCACGGUCGGCAAUGGGGGCGGCGGCGAUCGGUGGUGCGUCGAGAAGACUAGUUGCAAUAGCCUACUAGGAUCUCUAGCAUCUGUACGUCCAUGUCCAUCCGAGGUCGAUGCAUAGAAAUGGCAACUAGCUAGUACUCUUUGCGUAAGUGGUGAUGUUAUACGAACCUAUGAUAUCCUCGCAUUCAGAGGAGAGAGACGGGAAAAAAAAGCGGAGCAAAUCGAGGUGCAAAAUUUUAUAAGGAAUCACGGGAGAACCGCCAUGUCUAGCUGUUUGUGUAAAAUUAAGGGAGAGAGAUGCAGAAUAGGAGUAAUAUUUGCAUACAGAGUCGAUGUAAGGCCCUGUUUAGAUCGCUGAUAAAAAUUUUCUGGGUGUCACAUCGAAUGUGUCGGAAGAAUAUCGGGAGGUGUUUUUAGAAACUAAUAAAAAAAACAAAUUACAUAGCUCCUCAGGAAACUGCAAGACAAAUCUAUUAAGCAUAAUUAAUCUAUCAUUAGCACAUGUGGGUUACUGUAGCACUUAAGGCUAAUCAUGGAGUAACUAUGCUUAAAAGAUUCGUCUCGUGAUUUUCAACCAAAUUGUGUAAUUAGUUUAUUAUUUUAUGUAUAUUUAAUGUUUCGUACAUGUGUCUAAAGAUUCAAUGGGAUGGAUGAAAAAAUUUUGGGUGGAAAACUAAACUGGGCCUAAGAUCGUGAGAAUCAUCACAUAAACACAAAAGUCAAAGUAAGUGACUGUUUCUCUGCAACUUGCCAAGGCUUAAGAUCACAAGAAUCACAUAAACGACGCAUGCAACUUGCUCUCUCGUCACAUUUGUGGUUGAAAUCAAAUGGAAGGAAGAAGAAUAUGACAGUUGUACAUGAGAACAUAUGUAUAUAUAUCUGAGAAUAUAUGAACAGACAGAACAGUCGCCAUUCUUGUAAUUGGACAUUUGGACCAAUUUCUUUUAACUGAACUCGUGGAGCAGCUGUGGACACAAGUACUCAUGCAUCACAUUGUACCGGAAUUUGAUGCCGAAAGGAACUAGGGAGAGGAGAGAACAAUACCCUGGCAUCUAGUCUAGCAGAGAUUGAUGGGGAACAGAAAUGGCACCAAAAUGGAAUCUUCCAUUCAUGGGGCUGCAAAACAGUUACCGCGAUUUAAUUAGAAGCAGCUACCACUCUCGGUCUAUGAAACGGGAACCAAGGCACUAGCUAGCUUAAUGGAUAGCGACUAUGAUUGUGUCCGGGCACAAGCAGCACUCGUAUAUGUAUUGGAGUUUGGACCAGUGCUAAUACACUCCCUUAAAAAGAAUGUAAUUAUAUAGUAAUUUGUGUCAAUCAAACAAACUCAAGUUUAACCAAAUUUAUAAUAACACUAUUAACAUUUUUGUCUCCAAAUAACUUUAUUAUAAAAACAUAUAUUCUGUAACUAAUCUAAUGAAAUUUAUUUUUGUAUCAUCAGGUAUACCAUAGAUAUAUUUUCAUAAUGUGUUCAUUUCAUGUCAUAGAUUUGUCACUAUUUUCUAGAAAGUUAGUCAAAUUCAAGAUAAUUUGAUUUGCACGGAUUCUAAGAAACGAUUUAUUUAGGGACCGUGGGAGUAUCUGACGGUUUGCUUUAUUAGCUUUGCAUAUGUGCCUAUGAUACGUUGCCAUGUGGCUAAUGCCAUGCAUUAGCAAAAGCAGCUCGCUCUUAUUAUGGCAGCUUUCAUGUAGGAGUGUUUCUACCGGUAAUGGCAAAAAAAAAAUUAGGCCAACGCUCAUAUCUGCUCCCAUAGUGCUGUAUGAAUAACAUCUAGAUAGGUUUUAAAAUCUUUUCGUGAAUUAGCUUUUCGCAAUCGUGAUGUUGGAGACAACACAGCACCUUAGCUGCAGAUCAGCACUCACUGUCUCGCAUGUUUAAGCGAACCUUUGCUGGUAGUAGCUUGGAAGAUAGAUCCUGCCAAUCAUUGGUGAAGCCAAGCUUUAUUUUUAACACGUUAAAAAGCUUUAUUUUUCACUAGACAAUUAAGGAAGGAAGCUUUUUCUUUCUGAAUUAUACAACACAGACACGUAGAGGAAAGAUUAAUUUUGCUAAAAAGAAAGAAUAAUUUGCAAAGAGACAUUUGCCCCCCUGUACCUGUUGACAUUAUAAUUUCGUUGCUGUGAAUAAUGAAAUUCUGAUGUUUCGUGGUGGUGCAAAAAAUUGUCACUAUAACUUAUUUGGAAACCAUUAGAGUCGUUUUAGCGUUGGCUUCUUUAGAAAAAGAUAUUAAGAAUGCUUUCUUACAUAGAGGAAAGAUUUAUUUGAGGCAACUCUCGGAUUCAAAAAUUGAAAGUUUUAACUCAUAUUUACAAAUAGCAAAAACUUUAUAUGGUUUGAAACACGUGUAAGGAUUGAAAAAUGAUCCUAAGAGGGAUCGAGUUGGGGCCUAUAUAAAAAAAUCUCGACAAACCUUAGCAUAUGCAAAACUAUCAUCCACCACUUACGAUUCUUACAUAAUAAGGACGCUAAAGAGGCAAAGAGAAAUAAAUUUAUCCCACGGUGUCCGUUGCCAAAACGCAUCGAGUUCCACCGAGGUAUGCAUCAUGUCUCUUUCCGUCACGGGGUUUCUUACCAACCAAAGACAAUAGAGUGACAAAUAGUAUGUUUGGUUUGGGGAGUCAUCGUCCCAUGCUUCAUGAUAUGAUGCAUCAUGAAUUUAUUCUAUGAAUUUAAGUGGAAUCAACCUAUUUCUUAUGCAUAUUAGCUUGUGAUAGGUGGUGACCAAAUAUAAAAAGUGAGGAGUGAAAAGAAGAUGAAUCACCUCAUUCUUCAAACCAAAUACACCCGUGCCCCUAUAUAUACCACCUGAUUCUUCUGAUUUUAAUGUUGUACUCCACCCAACCAAAGAUAGUGUUGUGAGGCAUACGGUUUCAUCAUUAACACCACUACCGUCACACGAUAGGAUCACUAUUGGAUCACAAACCAAAGGAGGAGUGACUCGCCAUUGUCCUGAAUCCAGACAGUUAGUAAUUGAAACAGAGUUAAAGCUCAUCCCAACUGACAGGAUCAAUUCAAAUUUUAGUAAAAACAUACUAACAAAAUCCAAAAUAAACAUGAUUACAAUCCACGCACCAACGACGACAGCAUCACCACGUACUAGAACUAGAAGCAGAGCCAGCCUCCAUGCAUGCCGGCUGCUAUAGCUAGGGCUGUUGAUGGUCGAAGACAACUUACUGCUCGGUGUGUGAUCGAGGCCGGCGGCUGUCUGCUGCGCGGCUGGGAGUCGUCGUCUGAGCAGCGAGCACAGCCGGUUGCCGUGUGGGUGACGGAGGCGGUCCUGUGAACUGUGAUGGACGCUUCUCCUCUUCCUCCGAAGGCUCCUCUGUGAAUGUGAGAAUUGUGAUCGCGGCGCCGGCGGGCGUCCGGGUCCGGCCGCAAGGAAAAGCGUCGUGGGCGCGUCGCCUGCCGCGAGCUAGCGCACCGUGCGUCAAGACUCAUGCAGGACCUCUCCCUCCCAGGCCAUGCGCGCUGUCGGAUCGCCAGGAAGCACGCGUGGCAAUGGCACGCAUACUGCCUGUGCCUGCUCUCUAUAGAGUGCAGACCGCACCAAAUUUCCCCUCCCGUGCGCGCCGCGCGGUCUGGGCACGCGCGCGUGUCGUGUGCCCUGACGGAUCGAAGUGUGAGGGGAUUACACGAGGCUUGGUGCCGACGCGGGGGCAGGAACGUGGCAGAGCACCGCCCAAGCGGACGCCAGGUGCCGAGCUACCAGAGCACCGGCCUUGUAGUUCCGUCGUCCUUGCUCCUCACCCUUCAGUCCUCUGUCCUCUCGCUCUCGCUCUCACUCUCGCAGUCGAAGUCGCAUCGGCCCCUCUCCGUCCUCGUCUCCCUGUCGCCGGUGCCCGGACGCGCCAUGUCGUACAACAAGGCCCCGUCCAUCACCGCCGAGACCAUAAAUCCCAGGGUGAUGAGGCUCCCCGGCCCUCCUCCGCGCGCCUUUUGCACAGCAUCGUCGUCGUUUCUUCUUUCAGAAAUUAUGUGUUUAUAGAACCGUGCAUAUAUUCUUCUGAGUUAACUGAAAAGCUGAGGUGACUGACGUACGUGUCCGUUCAUUUGAAGGUCAAGAUCUUCAGCUACGCACCUUGCGGGGAGAUCCUCAAGCACGCAGAGGUAACAUUCCCACCGGCCGGCUCGCUGCUGGCUUCUCUGCAGAGGAGCCAAGAAACUAGUAGAUUCAGCAUCUGCACGCUACAUUUCUGAUUAUUUUCCUUUCGCUUGAUUAGAGCACCUCCAAUGGUUUGACAAUUUUGGUUUGGCAUUUGUUAUUGUUUGCCAACACCCAAUUGCAAAUGCAAAGGAAAAAAUAUGGUCAUCCCCAAUUUUGGCAUUUUGGACUUAGCAAUUACCUAGUGGACCCAGCCAAAUCUUUGUGCGCGUCUUUCUGUCGCACGGGCGUGUUUCUUCGCGCGUGUUUCUCUUCGCGCGAAGGGAGGCGGCGCCGCUCGCAGUCGCAGUGUCCGUCGUCGCCUUCAUCUUCCUCGUGAUGCAUACCGUUCCUGGACCUCAUCCCCAGUUGCUGCCCAUGUUCGCAGUCGCGUUCAGGGAGGAACAACGUAACAGACUCGAUCUACGUCUUUGAGUCGCGGCAAAUCAAUGGCGGCGCGGACUCUAUUUGGCGUGAGGACUCCCACCGACGAAGGAAACGGCGCCAAAGAGACCAGGCCGCGUACGGAAUUGACGCAGAAAAACCGGCCGCAAGCGUUUGCCAAUCCAAAAGCCAACUUCCAAAUAUGCCAAAGGGAGCCUCUCAAAUACCAAGUUUACUAAAAUGGUAAACCCGUUUGCAAAACCGUUGGAGGACACAAAUGCCAAACUAGAAUGGUAAACCGUUGGAGAUGCUCUUAGUUGCAAAAAUAAAGUUCUUUAUUUAAUAAACUGUAUGGAUUCUUGAUCUAACUGUUGCCGAUCUAGUUUAAAUUGUAUCAUUGUUAUUUUUAGUAACAAAUGUGUCUCGACGUUUCAAAUCUUGCGUUACAAAUAUUUAGAUCUCAAUAACAUCACCUGAGAUCGUACACGUUGGUAGGGAAAACAGAAGUGAGGCUUGCCAGUGAAGAGUUUAAAUCUCCGUUCUCAUAAAAAAAAGGCCACUCCGUGUGCUAUUUUCAGUGAAAUAUGUGGUCCAAUAGCGGUUGCAGCGUAAUAGUGGUCGCAGCCACGUUCUCACCAUUAGUGGCACAUCUUGAGUAGUCAGGAUUUGUGGACUUUUCUUGACCCUGUGGAAGAGAAUCUUCUACCUUUCCCUUAAUGCCUAAGGGGAGGUUUUAUCCCCAGGGUCGAGUUUUUUUUAAAAAAAAAAUGCAAAAUUACUGACUAAUAAAAAGACAAAAUAUUUUCUUCGCUGUGUCAUUCAGCGGUUGGAGCAGGAGAUGGAGGAAAACCCUGGUUCUCUGCCUUUUCAAGAGGUGAAACUCCUUCACUGCAAGUGCCUAUAUCACAGUUUAUACCCCUGAUCAGUCUUUGAUGUUGUCCAACAGAUAAUAUACUGCAAUCUUGGGAACCCCCAGGUUCUUGGUCAGCCACCAUUAACUUUCUUUCGUGAGGUUAGCAUCCUUACCCUCUACAAAAAAAAAAUCUAAGACGAUGCAAAGAUGCCGCUGUUUCAUGCUCAAAAUUGCUGCCUUCAGGUUCUUUCCCUGUGUGACAAUCCAACCCUCCUGAACAGAGAUGAAACAUGUGCCUUAUUCAGGUUGGACUAUAUGGUUGAACUCUGUUUACUGUAGUAUUUACGUGGAGCUUCAUAAACUGAGCAUGAUUUUAUUUUUUUCACUUCUAACACCAAGCUUGGUAAGAACUACAUUCGAUGAUACAUAAUUUGGCAGACAUUUGACUGAUAACGUUUCAAUCUACUGCCUCAGUCCUUACAGCAUAAGAAGAGCUAGGAGGAUCAUAAAUAAGAUUCCGAACAAAGACACUGGUGGAUAUACUGAUAGUCAGGUACGCAACUGGAAUCACAUUUUUAAUUACUGUAAAAAUGUUGAGACUUCGGGAGUCAUGAACGCAACAUUGCAUUCUCAAUUCAGAAUUAUUGAGUAUGUAUGCAACCCAAAAGGCGUUCUUUCUUUACUUGGUGAUGUUUGCCGGAUGGUAUAUAUUUUCCUUUCGCAAUUAUGGGCUACAUUGUUGACACUUGCUUAAUAUGAUCAGGGAAUCAAAUGGCUACGUCAAGUAGUUGCAGACGGGAUUACUGGAAGAGAUGGUUUUCCAUCCAAUGCAGAUGAUAUUUUUCUAACAGAUGGAGCUAGCUCGGCGGUAAUACUCUGCAUUUCAGAACAUACAUGCACAGAUGUACAUGAAACUGGGUCCUUUACAAAUGAAAACAUCAGUGUGAAUAUUUUCAACUUGACCGCGUUCCUUUCUGCCUGUUUCAGAUCAAUUUGAUGAUGCAAAUACUCAUCAGGUCUCACGAAGAUGGCAUUUUGAGCCCUCUACCAGAAUACCCCUUAUACUCGGCUUCCAUCAUACUUAACGGAGGAACAAUGGUACAGUGUACUAGUAGAGUUGAAAAAAAUAUUCAAGCAACAUUUGCAAAUUGCAAUACAAGAGGCCUUUUAAAAUGUUCAAGCCCAAACUUCUCAUCAGAUUCAUUGCCUUUUCCCUUUUAACCAUUUUAUUGUUUCUUUAAUUAGAAGAUAAAACACGCGCACUCUAUAUGCUUAAAUUACAAGAUAAAUCAGUAUAUUGAGUUGAUACAAGGAUGUUCCAAGGCCGUCUAUAAACUGGAUGUACUGAUCUUGGGAUGGAAUAAAAUCUUUCUUUCUUUCCCCAAAAAAAAUACUUGAAAUAACUAUGAACUAAACUGUAACUAGGUGCCAUACAAUCUUACUGAAGAUAAUGGUUGGGGGCUUGAGAUUUUUGAAGUCAAGAGAUGCUUGGAAGAGGCUCGUUCAGCUGGCUUGACUGUUAGAGCUAUGGUGGUCAUAAAUCCAGGCAAUCCUACUGGGCAGGUAUGUCACAUGAUUUUCCUGCAUCCUUUGCAUGUUACAAUACCUGAUGCAUAAAAUCAAAUAGAGAAAACGAACAUCCAGGAGAAGUUUUGCAGGGUUCUUCACUUGUUCUUACCAGUGCCGAUCUGAAUGUCGAUUUUUUUUUCACUUCAAUCACAUUUCAGUUCAGGUUUUAGUCGAAAUAUAUAAGCGAAGCUUCCUUGCUGAAACAUAAAUGACUACGUAAUGUAGAGGAAAUGUUUUGUCCUCACCUGUGAGACCCCACAUGCCAGUUGGUCAAAUUUAGGAAAAAGUAAAGAGUUAAAUGGUUGCACUCAGAAGUUUAUGCAUUCACUUAUGCUGGCAUGCCAAAUUUUUUUUUCAAAUAUGGUACUACAUGCUCAAAUACAGAAUAGCACCACUAAAUCAUGCAAUAAAUCUAGAAUCUACAAAGAUUCAAGCAUUUGCGUCUAGUGAGUUUUCUGUUCAAAUUAUAUUUAUAAUAGUCUUUUUUAUAAAAAUAUAAUAUAACAAUACUAUCAAUGUAGAUAUGUCAUAAUGUUUCAGUUAAAAUCAGCAAACAGCUAUAUGUAGUUUUAACAGUUUGUUAAUGUGUAAUUGUUAUGACGUUAAGGGAAUAUUUUCAUGAUUGCUAAAUAAAACAUAAAAUGUAUAUUAUGGUCAUGUAUACUUGAUCUGUAUGACGCUAUUCCAUAUACGCUUACUUUAUUUAAAUUGUUUAUACUCCCUCCGUCCAUAAAAGUAUUAAUUUCUAGAGUUGUCCUAAGUCAAACUUUCUAAAUUUUGAUCAAAUUUUUAGAAAAAAAAAUGCUAAGAUCUUUUGUAUCAAAAUAGUAUCAUUAUAUUCAUCGUAGAAUAUAUUUUAUAUGAUGCGUAUUUUAUAUCAUAGAUGUUGUUACUCUUUUCUAUAAAGUUAGUCAAACUUAAAAAAGUUUGACUGACACGAAUUUUAGGAAUUGAUUCUUUCGUGGACGGAGGGAGUAUAUGUCAACCGUAAUAGAUUUGGAUAAUUUAGUAAUAUAUAUAUAGGCAUAACUAUGGGAUUUAAUUUUUUUCAUAAGGGUGGAGGUGAGUAAUUUUUUAAACAAGAGAAUAGAUAUGAUCGCUAUAAUAUGAGAUUAGAAUAUUACAGAAUUCAUGGGUAGGUCUUUCUGAUUUUUUCGAGAAUUUCUACGAUUUAUCUUUUCUUCUAUCGCGUCUUGUGAGACCUGAAAAUCUCUAUUGCAGCCUCCAAUUAGUAACGGUAAGAUGCUAAAAUAAGGUAAUUAGCAGAGUUUCUUUGUUAACAUCUCCUUCCUUUCUUGUAGGUGCUUUCCAUCACCAACCAGGAAGAGAUAGUGGAAUUUUGUCGGAAGGAAGGUCUGGUUAUACUUGCGGAUGAGGUUUGUACUAAGUGAAAUUUAUAGUCCUUUUUGCAUUGUCAAAUCACAUUAAACACGUUAAGGGAAAAAAGAACAUUCUGUCCUUCAAAUCAAUUACCGAAAUGUAUUUGCAGGUAUACCAGGAGAAUAUCUAUGCAGAGAACAAAAAAUUCAAUUCUUUCAAAAAAGUGGCCAGAUCACUUGGUUAUGACGAAAAUGACCUCUCCCUAGUUUCAUUUAAUUCUGUUUCAAUGAGUGAGUCUUCGUUUAUACUCUCUCCAUUUCAAAUUAUAAGUUGCUUUAAAUCUUUUGGUUGCUAUGCAUUUAAAAAUAAUAAUAUGUGUAGAUAUAUGGUAAAAUAGAUAACCAAAAAAGUCAAAACAACUUAUAGUAUAGAACGGAGGGUAUAAAAAAAAUACAGUCUUAAAUCUUUGGGAGGUCCAUGUUGAAGUUUGUCUCUCCAAUCUUCUGAACUUGGCAGGCUACGGGGAAAGUGGCAGAAGAGGAGGCUACAUGGAGGUGACUGGUUUAGCAGCUGAUGUGAAGUAUCAGAUGUGCAAGGUGGCUUCUUUAACAAUCUGCCCCAACAUAGCUGGCCAAAUUCUUAUCAGCCUUGCAAUGGAUCCACCAAAGGUUUCAACCUUGAACUAAAUCAUCACAAAAUUGUCUUCAUCCAUCUUUAGUAUUUUUACUGAACUUUCCUUGUGACACUUGUAUGAAGCUAGGAGAUGAAUCUUUUGAGUUAUUUGAUGAUGAGAAGGAAAAGAUCCGUUUAUCUUUCUGGAAGCGAGCCAAGGUGCGCAAGGAUCAUCCUUCAAGCAUAAUCCGUUUAUUGGCGUAUGAGACUCGUGACAACUGACAAUGGUUCGUCUCUGUGCAACUGCAGACCCUAGAGAAAGCAUUCAGCAGCAUGGAGGGCGUGAGCUGCAACAAGUUAGAGGGUGCACUGUACUUGUUCCCACGGCUCCACCUUCCCUCUGCCGCGAUCAGGGCCGCUGAAUCCAAGGGAGUUUCACCUGACACAUUCUACGCUCACCGCCUGCUUGACGCCACUGGGAUCGCCGUUGUGCCGGGCUCUGGGUUCCACCAGGUCAGUCAGGCUCCUCCUGGAUCAUCUCUCGCCUUUAAAUUUUGUGUAUGUAUGUAUGCACUGUGAGCCUUUCGUACUUGUAAUGCUCAAAGUUGUAACUUAUUGUACUUUUAAUGAUUUAAUUAAGUUAUAAUUUCUCACGGAUACCUAGUAAUAGAUUAAGUAAAUCUUAGGAUAAAUUAAAAAAAGCAUUUAGCAAUUGAUUUUAAGUAGGGUCUAACUAUUUGGCAAUAAUAAUAGUCAUCAACUGUAUUAUUAUGUACCUACUUCUACCAUUAUAGAAAACACUCUAAAAUCCAUCUUCUAAAUUUAGAAAAUACCUAGAUCGAUGAGAAGAUUUUGGAGAUUUAGUUAAAAUUUAAAACCAAUGGCAUGAGUAUUAACAAUAAUAGCCUUUCAAUCUAUUAUAUUUUUAAACAUAUAUACCCACUUCCACCAUUAAUAAAUAAUAUCCACCUUUGUUAUUAUGUAAAACAGUGUCCCCUAAAAUCUUUAUCUAAAUUAUCCACAUGUGUUAUUAUGAAAAAUAAUAUAAAUUAACACCCACCUUUGUAAUGAUUAAAACUUCUCUAAAAUAGCCAAUCAAAUAUGUAUCUAAAUUACCUACAUGUGUUAUAUAUUAAAGGUGCCCCUAUAUAUGCUUCCAAAUUAUCAAUUUUCAUCAUUAUUUAUAUAGCAAAACCAAAUAAAUGUAUAUACAUGUGUAAUGUGCGUCACCAUACAUACCAGGUAUAUUUAUGAAAGAAGAGGUAGAGUGGGCAUAUUAAUUUUCAUAUGAAAUACAAAGUUCUACACCUGAAUACAUGUAAAACAUACAUGGUUAAUGAGGAUGGAGAAUGAGAAUGAAAAAACAUAUAAAAUAAUUUGCAAAGGAUAACCAAAUAAAGAUCACAACUUAUCUAUAUAAGUAAUUUGUUGGAUAUGAAGUAACGAGAUAGAGCCAACAUAAGCAAUUUUGAGUAAUCAUUGGCCCCAUAUAGUAUAUAAUCUUAAUUGGCCAAUAAAUUAAAAUAAGCUCCCAUCUUUUUUUUCAAGACCAAGAAACUAUCACAUUUUUAUUUACAAAAUGAAAAUAAAUUACCCAUGACUUUAACCAUAGAAAAGCACUUCAUAAUAACCCUAUACCUACUUUGUAAAUUAUUUACCACUGUUAUUAAAAAUAAUGAAAAAAUAUAAAGCAGUUUGUAACCAAAGCCUAGAAUAAUGAAAUAAAAUCAUCAUCUUUAUAAGUAUUGUGUUUUAAUAUGAAUAAAUAAGAUAACAAAAACACAAACAAUUUGUAUUAAUUAAUAUUGGCAUCAAUUAUUUAUCUUAAUUGUCCAAUAAAGGAACUUCUAUGUUUACUCACAAAUCUAAAAAAACACCACAUAUUUAAUCAUAUAUAAAGGAAAAAUAUGUUACCCUACUUUAAAUUGCGCAAAAAAGUCUAAAAUAGACAUGUGUGCUUUUUUAUUUGCUAUUCUCAUUAAAAAAAAUUGUUCCACACAUGCUUUUCUACUAUCCUUCCCUAAUAUUAUUUCAAAUUGGAGCCAAAACUAGGAAAAAGAUUACACAAUUUAGCACGUUGUAUAAAUAAUAAAUUUAUGAUUCACAUAGCCAUUUCAUGUAUAAUAUAACAAGAAAAUAGAAACAUAUAUGACUAGAAGCAACUCACACGAUCAAAGUUGCACAUAACUUGAAAUGUGUAUCUUAAGGCUGUUUUAUUGGCCAACAAAAACAACUUUCACAUACAAAAUUACCACAUUAAUUAGGGAAAAUAAGAAAAAUAAAAUUAUUCGUCACUGCCAUUAAAAAAGUAGUGCAGAGCGUACGUAUAACUAAUAUUGUCAUUAUAAAAAUAUUAACACAUAACACUUCUAUACCUAAUAAUAAGUACCAAAAACAUUUAUUUUGUUGACCGUAAUACUAUUAAAAAAUCCAAAUCCAUAGAAAAGGUUAGCAUAAGUUCAUUGCAAAAAAUUAAAGAACUAUACAUUUCAAAAAUCAAAGAAAUUUCAUGUAAUUUAAUUGGGAUGCAGGAACAUAUAUAGCUAAGUAUAAUUCACACCAUCGAAGAUCAAAGUUGCCCAUAGGUACGCACCCAAGUUUAGUUGUUGUACCAGGAUGGCAGGAAGGUUGUAGUAAAAGGUGCAAUAACACAACUGAUAGAGCCUAGCAUCUCAACCCAAGGAAAAGGAAUAAACAAAAGUUAUUUAAUCAGAAUAAGUGCAUGACUAGGUAGAAAAAAGGGAAUAAGUGCAUGACUAGGUAGAAUCUAUCUAUAUAAAAUAAACAAAAGUUAUUUAAUCAGAAUAUAGAACAAAUAAAGGAAUAAUGGGCUCUUUGCUUGGAGCUCUGGAUGACUUAUCUGGUCAGGCAAGUUGGGAGUUGAUUUGUUUAAUUGAAAGCCUAUGUCUGAAAAGGCUAAUGGAAAACAUAAUAGUGUUUUCUUGUCUAAUUGAAUGGUAAUAUGUUAAUUUUUAGAGACAUAAUAUGCUUCAAUAUAUAAAUAAUAUUAAUAGUACUUUUCAUAGACGAUUGUCAUUUAAUUAUGCACAUCCUUGUCUACCCGGAUAAAAGAAAAAACACAAAAAAUAGUUUGUGUAGUUUAGAAAUAUUCAUUUUUGUUUGUUACAAGAAAGCUGCUACAUAUAGGCCUUGUUUAGUUCUAAAAAAAAUUCAAGAUUUUCCGUCAAAUCGAAUCUUGUGUGUCGCAUGGAGUAUUAAAUAUAGACGAAAAUAAAAAAAUUAAUUACACAGCUGUAAUUUGCGAGACGAAUUUUUUGAGCCUAGUUAGUUCAUGAUUGGACAAUAAUUAUCAAAUACAAAUGAAAGUGCUACAGUACCCAAAGUUUAAAAAAAAUUACCAACUGAACAAGACAAUAGUAUAUACUCCAUCGAGAUCAAAAGCUAGUAGAUUGACGGUAGAUUUGAGUUGCACACGUUAGACCAGGCAGCUUCCGUGCUCCAGCCGGACGACCGAAUUCUUACGCCUUGUGUUUCCUAGGCUAGGCUUGUUACUAGGGACCCAACCAAAUGGAGUCGGCGUGAUAACUACAACCGUUUAUGAUAUAAAAAGAAAUGUCGACGUUGUACUAUUUUCUACUAGUGCUUUGAUUAUGUGUAAUUAUGCUCACCCAUGUAUAUACAUACAUAAUAGCACUUGAAGGUUUUUUCAUAAUGAUGGAGAUAUUUAAUUUUGUGGCGCAUUUAGGUAUACUACAUGGUUAUAUAUAUUAUUUUAAUCAGGUGGUUAUUUAUAUGCAAACUUAAUUAAAGGUUUACUUUAGAAUACAUAUGGGUAGUUUAGAUAAAGAUUAGGGAGUUAUUUUAUUAUUAUUUUUUCACAAUAGCAGUGCGUGAUUUAUGUACCGAUUUAGUGCAUUCCCUUGGCUACAUCAUUGUCUGAUCUUGUUUGUGAAAUGCAAUGACAAGGAAUCUGGGUCGAUCCAUAUCCGGUGCACGAUCCUUCCUGACGAAGGCAAAAUCGCAUCAAUGAUCCCACGCCUCUGUGCGUUCCAUAAGGCGUUCAUGAAUGAGUUCCGGGGUUCUCAGCAGCGCAUGCACGAUCUCCGCCGUUGACGCAAUGUUACGGUUAGACCGAGUGAUGUGAAUGGUGAAUCUGAAGCUAUGGCAUGUGUGUGCUGUGUACAUGGGUAAUCAGGGUGCCUGGGCUCUGGCAGAGUUAUUUGUACCUACUAUUAUGUGUUUAGUGUUCUUGCUUUCUAGUUGAGAGAGGUGCCCAUUUAUCCUCACUUUUGUUGUAUGACUUGCUACAGUGACCUGCCUAUAUAUACUGGUUAAAGUUAACCUGAGUGUUCAGGGAUAAUAUAUCUACUGUGGUAUAUAUAUGCCUUGCUUGUGCGUCGACUUAUCUAGUUUUGCCUUUUGAAUGGUGAACAUUAUAAAUAUUUUAACUUGGGGCUUUGAUGAAAAACCUUGAAACUUUCCUCGAGCCGGUUUUAACUAUGGCCUUGUUUAGUUCUAUUUUUUUUGGAAAAUGAGUACUGUAACAUUUAUGUGGCAAAUAUUGUCCAAUCAUAGACUAACUAGGCUCAAAAGAUUUAUCUCGUAAAUCACAGGUAAACUAUGUAAUUAGUUAAUUAGUUUUUAUUUUCGUCUAUAUUAAUGCUCAUGCAUGUGUCUAAAGAUUCGAUGUGAUAAAGAAUUUUGAAAAAAUUUGAAUUUUGAUGACGAACUAUGUAAUUGACAGCUCAGCUUUUUGCUGAUGUGGCGAAAGAAUUAAUGAGGAGAGAGAGCACAAAACAGAGAAACGAUUUCUACUAUAGGAAACGAAGUCGACGCUCGUACCGAGACCGAAAGAAACCGCCCAAACCUCGUUGUGGAGACACUGCUCGUUUCCAUCCGAUCCGCUGCGCCAUGCCUCCGCCGCUGCCGCGCAGACUCCUGGCGCGAGCUCACCCUCAAUCUCCAACGCUUUUCCUCAAUCUCCCGCACGAGCUCUCUAUCUCCUGCACGAGCUUGACUCUGUCUUCCGUGCCCCCUUCCUCCGUGCCUCAAUCUAAACACUUGUUCUCUGGGACCAGUAGAGGUGGAGACCUAGCCUCCUCUGCCCCAAUCCAUGCCAAGUCUGAGAAAAUGAAUCACCUGACGAGAAAUCAGAGCUCAAGAUUUAGGCGAGGCACUCGUGCUUCUAUCGCCCUUGCUGUUGGACCUAGUAUUGUCUCAAUCCCCAAUCCCUCGAUGCUGAUGCAGCAAGUCCGACAAUGCCCCAUGCCACAGCCCCUUGGCGGCGAGGCGAAAGGUCCUAAUAUGGCUAGAGGGGGGUGAAUAGCCUAUUUAAAAAUCUACAAACUCACUAGAGCAAGAGGUAAGUAAAUAACAAAGCGAAGCUUUUUGCUCUAGCUCUAAUAGGGUGUUUGCAAGCCACCUAUCCAACAAUUCUAGUUGAUAUAAUCACUAGGCACACAAGGGCUAUGUCACUACUUACACUAGAAAGCUACCUAAAGUUUCUAUACAAGUAAGUAAGCUACUCUAGUUUUGCGGGAACGUAAAAGAGAUGGUUUGAACUUUAUACCGCCGCGUAGAGGGGAUGAACCAAUCAAUAAUAUGAAGUCCAAUCACCAGAAGAAAUCCAAUGAACAAUCACAAUGGAGACACACAAUUUUUCUCCCGAGGUUCACGUGCUUGCCGGCAUGCUACGUCCCCGUUGUGUCGACCAACACUUGGUGGUUCGGUGGCUAAGAGGUGUAGCACGAACCUCGUCCUCACUAGGACACCACAAGAACCUACCCACAAGUGAGGUAACUCAAUGACACGAGCAAUCCACUAGAGUUACCUUUCGGCUCUCCGCCGGGGAAGGUACAAGACCCCUCACAAUCACCGGGAGAUGGCCACGAACAAUCACCAACUCGUGCCAAUCCUCCUCCGCUGCUCCAAGCCGUCUAGGUGGCGGCAACCACCAAGAGUAACAAGAAAACCGCAGCUAGAACGAUCCCCAAGUGCCACUAGAUGCAAUCACUCAAGCAAAUGCACUUAGAAUCACUCCCAAUCUCACAAAGAUGUUUAAUCUAUGAAGGAGAUGAGUGGGAGGUGUUUGCUUAGGCUCACAAGGAUGUUAUGAAGUCAAGAAUGCCAAGAGUGUGAGCCCCAAGCCGGCCAAACACGUAUUUAUAGCCUCUCAAACAAAUAGAGCCGUUGGCUCUUUCACUGGGCAAAACUCGGGGUCACCGGACGCUCUUAAAGGGGCACCGGACGCUCAGACCCAGCGUCCGGUGCUCCAACGUCAGCCACGUGUCGCCUUUUGAAACGCUCGUGUCAGAGUCUAACGGUCACCUGCAGUGCACCGGACGCUGAGCAAGUUAGCACCGGACGCGUCCGGUGCACACCGGACUCAUGCGCAGAGAGUUCCGCAAACCUGUAGGUCACCGGACGCUAAACACCGGUAGCGUCCGGUGCUCACCGGACCCAUGCGCAGAGAGGGUCACAAAACGCCCGCACACCGGACGCGCACCAUCGGACGCUCAAGCCAGCGUCCGGUGCCUUACCCUAGCUGGGCCAGGCACUGUCUGCACCGGACGCUCAGACGCAGCGUUCGGUGCUCCAGAAGCCAGCGUCCGGUGAGUGUUUUCUCAGCGAGAAACACUCCCGCGACUACUCCAAAUUUCCCUCCGGCGCAAUAGAAAAUAUGCACUUCAUUUUCUCAAAAAGCGCCGAAUCCCGCCUCGCAAGCUCGGCGGGAGGGAGAGAGGAACCCAUCCUCUCUCUACCUUUGAAACUCCACCUCCUUCUCAAAGUGUGCCAACACCACAACAUGUGUACCAACAAGUGCACGUGUGUUAGUAUUUUCACAAACAUUUUCUUUGAAGGAGUUAAGUUAGCUCACUAGGUUCUAAAUGCAUGCACAUGAACAAUGACACCUAGUGGCACUUGAUAACCGCUUAGCCAAAGAAUUCCCCUCUUUAUAGUACGGCUAUUUAUCCUAAAUGUGAUCACACCCUCUAUGGUGUCUUGAUCACCAAAACCAAAACCCUAAGCAAUACCUUUGCCUUGAUCUCCAUAGGGUUUUGUUUUUCUCUUUCUUCUUUUCCAAGUUGAGCACUUGAUCACCUUGUGGUCAUCACCAUGAUCAUCUCUUGCUCCAACACUUGGCAUGUACCAACCUCAUUAAGUCUACACACACUUAGCAUAGAGGUUAGUACUAGGGUUUCAUCAAUUAUCCAAAACCAAACUAGGGCUUUCACGAGGCCCUUGCUGGCUGUCUGGCUCGGCUGGACACUUAGAUGCUCAGCACAAGUACAGGGCCUGCAGCUAGCUGCUUGCCUUGCUGCGUGUUGUGUUAGUUGCUUGCCUUGCUUCGUGCUGUGCUAGCCUGCCUUGCCAUGGAUAGUUGGAUUUUAAAAUCUUGUUUAAUUGGAGUUUUUGUCUAUUGACUGAAAUCAUCUAAUGGAAAGCAACCGCAAGUGUUCAGCUUGCUGGAUUUCCUGCGUGGUGGACAGGCCCAUCUCCUAUGGCCUCUCUGAAGGGUAUAGUGCAUCUGGCAUGUUGUUUUCUGAAUAAUGUCAGUAUGGUUUAGUAGUUCUGAAUAUUUGUCAAGUGUGGUCAGUUCCUUUGUCAAGUGUGGUCACGAUUGCUACUAUUGUAUCGUCAGUGGCGGAUUCAGAAACGGAUCAAGGGGGGGCUAAAGAACAAGGCGAACAAAAGUUUUGCUUGGUAGACACAGUAUACUAGUAGAUAUAACCUAGAUUGAUAAUUUGAUAUGGAUUCAAAGUAGUUAAAGUCAAAGAUACAUAGAAUUAAGGAUAGAAAAGUACCAAAUACAAGGAGUCUUCCAGCUUAAGAAUUGACACCACUUGAACCAAUACGACUUGAACUACCACCCUCAAUGCUACAUAAUUUGUAAAUGUCAUACACUUCUUCAAUAAUCAAGAUAACAAGCAAAAAGAAAAGUAUUAAAACAAUACGCACCUUGGGACCUUGCGUGGCAAGUUUAUCUUACGAUUUCUUAUGCCCUGAAAGCGCUCCAAAAUUUUGUCAUCUUCAAUAGAUACAAACAAAUCCCUCUCAAUAUAACAUAUCAUGCUAUCAUUCAUCCAAUCAUCAUUCAUCUUAUUCCUCCUAUCGGUCUUGAUAAUAUUCAUAGCAGAGAAGGCUCUUUCAACGGUUGCUGUUGCCACGGGCAAUAUCAAUGCAAGCUCAAUGAGGCGAUACACCAAAGGAAAAUAUGUAUGUCUAUCACUUAGAACCAUCUUUUCGGCAAGGCUACCAAGAUCAAUACAAGUGUCAAAAUCUUCAUCAUAUUUGACUUCAUCCAUGAAAUUUUGAAGCUCAGUUCUUAGCUUCACACACUCAUAAUCACUAAAGUCAGCAUAAUAAAUCUUAGCAAGCUCAAUUAAUUUCUCCACCUCAUAAUUGGCAAAUUUAUUUGUUGGAUCAAGACAAGCAACACAUCUCAAUAGUUGUGUUGAUCUUUCAGGAAAUCGAUUGUUCAACUCACAAAUUAUUUGAUCAAGGACAACAUUGAAAAUCCCAUGAUGAAAAUGAUGGUAGUAGGUCACUAAUUUGGCUCCACGACAUUUUGAACGACCUCUGACUGGUAUCAUAUCGUCCAUAUUAGGAAUGUCUAUCUUCUGUUUGUCAGCAAAAGCUUUUACCUCCUCAAAAAUAUUAUCCCAACCAUUUUCCCUCAUGGCAUUUAUAUUUCUCAUCACAGCCCCAAUCAAUCCUAUUGCACGAAUAAUGUUUUGAUUUUUCUUUUGCAAACAUUGUGAUAGGUCCUGAGUUAUCCCCAAUACUCUAAUCAUAAGAUGCAAUAUGAACACAAAUUGAAAUGACUCCAUUUUUUCUAUCAAUCCAGAGGCUAAAGUUUUCUUUUCCCCAUCAGUUCCAUCAUCACUAAUAUUCUCUAACACCUCAAGCACAGAUUCCCACAUGAGCAUAAGACGUACUAAUGUUUUGUGAUGUGUACCCCAUCGUGUAUCACCAGCCCUAGCAAGACUAGUUUCUUGGUUUUUCCCUCUUCCAGGAGUUAUUUCACCACUAUCUAAUUGCUCAACAAGAUUAUCAUGGUGUUUUUGCAAAAGUUGAUCUUUUCUCUUGCAAGAAGCACUAACAGUAUUGACAACCAAAGUGACAUAACUGAAGAAAUCAUCAGUUGAAGCACAACAUCUAGCUACAGCAACUACCACAAGCUGCAAUUGAUGAGCAAAACAGUGGAUGUAAAAAGCAAAUGGGUUUUCAUUCAAUACCAGCCUUUGUAACCCAUGAAACUGCCCUCUCACGUUUGAGGCUCCAUCAUAUCCUUGUCCUCUAAUCUUAGCUAUAGACAACCCAUAUCUUCCAAGCAUAGAAACUAAUGCUUCCUUCAGUGAAGAAGAUGUGGUGUCAGAAACAUGUUGCAGGCCAAGGAACCUCUCAAUCACACUUCCUUUAUCAUUGACAAACCUAUUAAACAAAAAGAAACAUAGUGUUAAUUAAAUACAACAAAAAAGAACAAAUGAAAUACACAAACAUAUAGUAUAUACCUCACAACCACAGCCAUUUGUUCCUUAAUUGAUGCAUCACGGGCCUCAUCAACGAGCACUGCAAACCAACGAUCUCCAAUUUCACUCUUAAUUAAUUCACUUGUCUCCUCUGCACAAGCCCUAACCAAAUCUUUUUGAACUGUUGGACAACUCAUUUGAUUAUUCCCUGGAGCAUUUUCACCGGUCACAAGUGCAGCUUUACUGUCUUUCUUUCUAUACCAAUCAAGCAUCUCCAAAAAAUCCCCUUUAUUUUUUGAUGUUUUAGACUCAUCGUGUCCACGAAAUGCUAGAGCUUGUAAAAGGAGAAAUCUAGCAAUUCCUAACAUUAUGGUUAAACGAGCUUUAUAUGCCUCCUCUUCUGCUGCAGUUGUUACUGUCCACACAUGUUGUAGACUUUGCCUCUGAUUGUUGAAAUCAAUUGCUCGUUUUCUUGCUGCACUAUGAUAGCCAUCUAUUGAUUGAGCAUGCUUGAGCAAAGAAGCCUUUCCCUUUUUCCAAUUCCUAAACCCUACUCUGUUGAAUGCAUCAUUAUCAAAAUCACUUGUUUUUGGUGGCUUAAAGAGGAAGCAAUAAAAGCAAUAGGCUGCAUUCUUUGCAGGACUGUACUCUAACCAAUCAAAUUGAGAAAACCAUGAUUUAACAAAACCUCUGGUUUGAGUUUUACCCCCUGUUCUUUCAUACUCACAAUUUGGUUGAUAUGGACCCAUCUGUAUGUAUGCUCUCCUAGCAUCAUCCCUAAUAUCUGGAUGAAAUUCAUCAAUUGGCUUUCUAAGACCUGGAUCAGCAAGCAACUAUAUCAUUCAUAUCAAGCUCAAUACGGGGUCUUUUUUGCUCAACUCGACUCUCUUUACUGGAAUCAUCUUUCUUAGAAAAAUAUUUUUCCAUUCUAUAAAUUCAAACAAAUCAAUAAAUCAGUAAUGGCUUGAAUCUAAAUCUAGUCAGUACAGUAAUGAAAAAAAAACAGAGGGAUCUUCUCACCUUCCCACCUUGUUGCUGCACAGCACAGAGGGAUCUUCUCACUGGUGUUUGUCCGCGCUGGUGUUUGCCCCGCGCCUGGCCUGGCCGCUGGCGGGCCGGCUGCGGCUGGCCUCCCUGGCUCCCUCGACGCUCCCUCGCUGAGUCGCUGAGUGGCCGCGGCUGGCCUCCCUGGAUGUACCGGCGGGCGGCGGCGCGGCGCAGUCCGUGGAGACGGUGCAGACUGGAGUGGAGCCGGCCGCGCGGAGAGGGGAGGGGCCGAGGGGGCGACGCGCGACGGAGUCGGGGCUCUCAGCUCUGGGCUCUGGCGGCGUGGAGUGGAGGCAUGGAGCGACGGGGUCGGGGCUCUGGCGGCGGCGGUGGAGCGGGCGAGCGUCGGGCGUAUCCGCGUAUGCGAUUGCGAUUUGCGAGCGGCCGUUCACAGUCCGUGUUCGUGUGGGCAGAGUGAGUUUUUUUUUUAGGUCACAAAUUUUUGGGCCGGCUGAAAUCUGCUCCAAGUGAAUUCGGCCCACGAGGGGGGGCUGCAGCCCCCCAGCCCCCCCCCCCCCCCCCCCCCCCUCUUCCGUCCGCCACUGUGUAUCGUCAUGUUAGCAGCAGAAAAAAAUUGCCAUAGUUGAUCUAUCUCCUUUUUGUGUUGUAUUUAAGUUAUUCUUUGUAUGGUCAUUAAUAUAGAAACUAUGGGUUGAAGAGGAUGGUUUCUAUUAACGUUAAUUAUUUUUUUUUCUUUCUUGGAAACUACUCUUGGAAACUGGCCAUUGGGACUGCCCAAAUUGGACUGAACGGCACCACAAACCGGAUGAAAUGGUGGUUAACAUAGACCAGCAGCGUAUCAUCUGCUGGAAUCCAGAGCAGAACACAGUAAGACUGAGGGGCAACAAAAAUCAACGAACUGAGCAAAUCAAACUCCCAUAGAGCUGAGAUUUUAAAGCUUUGGAUGGUACUCUAAAAUAAUAAAAAAUAGCCAUGCAUGGAUCGUUGAUCUAGAAGGCAUUUAUCAUGUAUUACUCCCUAGCUAUAAGACGUAAUAAGAGAAAUAUUUAUUUAUUUAUUUAGAAAAAUAGAUAAAAUAUCCUCCUGAUAAAUCUAACUUCCAUAUAUGAUUUAAAUCGUCAUCAACCGUGACGAAGCAAACGUUUUCAGGUGCGUGACAUCAGUCCGACACCGUUUCCUGCUAAGAUGAUCGAUCUGUUCACGUGCCGUAACCUGCUAUAAGGUGCUUUUUACUCGUCACGCAUGUAUGUAGUAUGUUGUUACACGCGAUGUGAUGUAUCCUACACAUAUAUAGAGUCAGACACGAUGGUGAAAUAUGUAUACGUGACAUGAUGGAUCUAAAAUUUUAUACGUAAAAUCAUCAUGGGAUGUGCAACAAACAAUGUUUUCAUAAAAAUGGGGUACAGUAAAACCUUGUUUACUUCCAAAAUUUUCUUAAGAUUCCUCAUCACAUCAAAUCUUACGGCACAUGCAUGCAUGUUGCAUUAAAUAUAUAUGAAAACAAAAAUUAAUUGCACAGUGUAAAUCGCGAGACGAAUCUUUUAAUUAAGCCUAGUUACUCUAUGAUUGAACAAUGUUUAUUAAAUAAAAACGAAAGUGCUACAGUGUCGAAAUAAAAAAAUUACUAACUGAACAAGGCCUAAAAGGAUGAACAUGGAUUUAGAAAUUCAAAUCAAAGAUUAGGUCCUGUUUGGAUCCCUGUAGAUAAUAACUAUUUUUAGAUCCAAACUGAUGUAGUUAAUAAAUUAGAUAAUUGUUAGCUGGACCUCUAGGCUUUGAAUAAUAAUAACUAUCUCACUAGGAGCACCAAAUGAAAUAAUAGUAGCUAAUAGUUAUUUUAUUAGCAUUUUUCAUUAGUUGUGCAUACACCCUCUAGCUAAUAGACAUAUAAGCCAGCUAACUAUUAGUAGAUAAUGAUGUCUAAGCUGGCAGCUAUAAGUAAUGACAGCUAACAUUUUUUUGACAAAAAUGACAGCUAAUGUUAUUUAAUGAGAAAAACAGGAAAGCGGUUGGGUGCUCGCUCGCGUGAACACAGCGUGACCAAGUGAGGCACGCCCAUACAUGAUGCUCGAGAUUUUUCUUUUUUGGCCGGGAUUUUCUUUUCCUUGAUUAUUUUAAUUAUAUUUCUUUUUCAAAAAUCAAAGGAUCAGGAACUUUUUAAAAAUAAAUCUUACCUUAGAAGGUAAUGGGAAUACUGUAGUCACAACCAGAUUUUUCAAUUUCUUCAAGUAGUGUGGGAUUGUCCUAGUGUUUUAAUUAGCAUUCAAAAUUUAGUAUAAACUUUUCCUAAUAAAUACCUCCUAGUGAGGAUUCUCUAGUGUUUUGACUAGUGGUAGUGUUUUAUUACUAACUAAAAACACUAGGAGAACUCCACCAUUUUAGUAGUGAGCAGGAUUUUAACCCAAACAACAUAUCCUAGUACCGAUUGCCUCUGCAAAUUAGACCCCAAAAUAUAGCCUAAUUGCAAGAACAAAAAUUCUGAGAAAAUAGCUCAAAAAUCACAAAAAGGAAAAGCUUGAGUAUGAAUUUAGACCAAAAAACCUUCAAAAUAAACCAUGAUGAAUUCACCUAUACAAAAAGGUUAGCCUCGUCAUCAUAUCUCCACCCACUAAAAAUUGAAAAACUAGAUCAAAAGGAUCUAUCUCAACUCUCUCUAACCUAGCCACCUAGCCUCAAAAUUUGGCUAACCUAUUGGAAAAUGAUAUUAGGGUAACAAGAGGACCAUGACUAACCAGCCAUCCACAUAUUAUUUAUAGGUGCAUGGCUAGUGGCUAAAUUAUCCAAAGAUGUUUUACGUGGAUACAUACUCGUGAGGGGCAAAAAUAAACUAUUCAAAUUUUUCUUCAUUGAUCGAAUGGACCUAAUGCCUCCUCAGCUUUGCUUUGUCUUAGCACAAGCUCAAGAUUAUGUCUACCGAUCCAUCACUCUUGGGUUUUGGUGCCCAAACCGACAAACCUACCGCCAACGUGGUUUAAGGCUGAAACUGCUAAACCCUCUAAAACUAUGUAGUCUCUAUGCAACCUCCACUGUCACAACAUGAGUACUCCAAGUCCUAGGCAUGGCCACCCCACCAAGUCCUUUUGUGCUUCAACUUGACUUGGUCAAGCUCCCGUCUUGUCUUCGAUCAGUACCAUCUUCGACCUUAUCAUCUCACAUAUGUACUCCUGCUUGUCACCAACAUGCCCAAGUGCUAGGUGUGCAUGGUCUACCCUUCGUCAUUUGGUCCCUUGUUUCAUGUCUCCAAUGUUCAUCAUUGACCGCUAUGAUCUUAACCAUUGCUCUUAACUAUUACCAAUGACCAUUUUGAUGCACUCAAACUCUACACAUUAUAGGCCAAAAGACAUGUUGCACCACACACAUGUCAACUCCACAUUGGUUAGCUCAAGUCACACUAGAGCCAACUUGAUGACCAAAAAAGUGAAAAACUCGAUUAUCUAAUCUUUACAAUGACCUAUCAUUCUUGAUAUGAAUAUAAAUCCACCAUACCAUCUCACCAUCAAUGAAAUACCAGUUGGACCUCGAAACCUCCACUGAAUACUUACAACACCUCAAGCUUCGAAUGCACACCAGAUUGUUAGUUUUGCCAAGACAUACUCCAUGUUGCAGUACCGUGUUCCCUCGAAUGCAACUCUUGAAAUGUUCCUGGAGCUUAUGAAAACGGAUACACAGUUCGCAAUAUUACAGAUUCCAAGUGGGCUCCAUGCCCCCCAAGCAUGCAUGAAAGGAAUAAUAAACAUGUCUCAGAUAAUCAAAUUCAACCUUCUUAGCUUACAAAUUGAAGGAACACACUGCUGUUUCAUUUAAGGAGAAAGAAUAAGAUAAAACUCAAUCCAGAUGUCUUGAAACAUAUAAUUAAGCUCAAAGCUACACAUUAAGAAACAUAUUGACCAUAGGCCAUAUACUAAGUUUCCUGAGGUAUAUUUCUUCCUUGACGAACAUGAGCAUCUGUAGGGGGCCUGAGGUCGGAAUUCGUCCGAGCCCUCACCGUGACUAAGAAUUUUAAGUGCAGUGCACAGAGGUGAUCAUCAGUUGUUCAGUGCUUGAGAAUUGAAUGCUGCCACUCCUCCCCCUUCAAUCGACCCACAGCAGCAUGCUCACAAGUCAAGUGUAAAUCACUGCAUCCAAUUAACCAGUAGCUGGAAUCUCUCCCAAGCAUAAUCUGAAACCAUACAGCGCAGCAAACUUAAAAGCAUGAUAUAGCUUAAGAAAUCCACAAAUGUGGGCAUGUGGCAUAUGCAGUUUUCAUAUAUAUGAUUACAAGAUUGAGACUAAGAUAUAUGCUUCAGAGUUCAGAUUGGUUUCAACGCGGAGAAGAAAACAAUAUAAUAUAAAAAGUUCCUGUUGUAUAUAGGCAAUUUCAAAAAUAUAGCGGGGGCUAUUUGAAUGGAGGCCCUAGACAAAUGCAUCCUGGCCAAAGACAAAAUCAGACGAUUGGGAGUAUUGCCUGGUCGAGGCCAAUAUUUCAAGCAUUCAUCCAAACAGCCUAGUCCUUAGCAAGUUGAACCAACCAAAAAGAUGAAGUUGGGGAAACUAGCUACAUGUGAGAUUCCAGUCAUUUAGAUAUAAACAUAUAUACAUUUUUUCUUGAUCCCAGCAGGUAUUAUCAACCAUAUUUUUGUGUCACUAAACUGAGACUAAUAUAAACACUAAUAAUAAUUAAUAAGACUGGAAUACCCUUUUUUUAAUGCAAAAGAGACUGGAAUACUUCUAACAAGACACGUCAAUUCCAUAGUUUUAAAUCUCCCGCUAUAGCUGCCGCUAUAGCCUUUUGAGGCAGGAUACCGCUAUUUGUAUUCAUGUAUAAUUUAACCGCUAUAUUCCGCUAUAGCUCGAUUUAGCUCCGCUAUUAGCUGUUUUAGACAUAAACCGCUAAACACCUUAGCCCGCUAUUUAAAACCUUGCAAUUCAAAUCACGGCUGAGGAAACUUAUAGAUGAGUAUGUAUGAGAGGCUAGUACCAGGAGUGUAGAAGCUUGCGUAGGGAGUGAUGGUCUGGAAGUCCCGGCUCUCGCAUAUGUGCUUGAUCCGGUCAGAUUUGAACUCAAUGGUGAAGAUCCCCUCAUUUGAAUGUAUGAAAAUGGUAUUAGCACACUCUGAGUAGCCGACCACAAGGAGUCUGGUGGAGGGGUCACCAAUGGUCAUGGGGAGCAUCAUAUCCAGCUCGAUCACCCUUCCCUGCACCCAUCCGGCGGCAGCUCCCCUCCAGGACCACAGGUGGAGGCUGUAGCCCUCCACGCCGGCGACUCCCAGCCCGCCGCCGUCCUCCGCCUUCACGAGGGCCAUGUUUCCCACGCGCAAGGGUGGUGGCAGGUUCGUCACUGACAGCUCAUGCCUUCCCAAUUCGUACCUGAGCAGUCUGCGGCCGUCCUCUAGGAGGAAGUGGAGCGCGCCUCCGGCGAGCAGGCUGGGCCCCAUCACGUCGCGGGACGUCGCGAUGGGCCCGAGGUGAGCCGAGGCCAGCGCGCUCCACGUUCCGGUCGCCGACGAGUAGACGCUCAGCCACGUGAAACUGACGUCGUCCCCCUCCACGAGGUUCUCGUCGUCGGCGGUGCCCCCGAAGACCACGAGGAAAGGGCCCCCGCGGCCGCAGUCGACGUGGUCGCAGCCGUCCGCCGCGCAGAGGACGGCUCCGGUGAGGUGGUUGUACGGGUCCUCCGGCGCAUCAGGCAGGUGGUGCUGGUUGCCGGUGAUGGGGUCCCAGACGAUGAGGCCCGCCGGGUGGAUGGUGUGGAGGAGCACGCGGCCGUGGCGGCAGUCGAGGGCGACACAGCCGUAGCAGUCUAACGCCGGAGGGAUGAGCGGGCAGGCGGGGCUCGUGGUGGUCUCCAAGCUGUUGUAGUUGAGGAAGCCGAGCACGGGCGGUGUCCCGUGGAACUCGCGGUAGCGGCGGAGGAAGCCCAGGUCGGAGAGGAGGUGCCGCCAGGACCUGCAGACGAGGGAGGUGCGGAAGAGGUGCGCAGGCUCAUCCGGCGAAAUGCGGAGGAGGAUCUCGCCGAUGAGGUCGUCCGUCAACUCCGGCAGUGAGCUUGGCGGCGCCAUCUUGCUGCUUCUCGGCCCGGCUCCGGACUCGAAUGGGACGACGCGGAGUUUUCAUUCCAUUUUUUUUUUCAAGACUGCUACUGUAGACUGCCUACUCCAGAUUACGAACGCAUGCGAGAUGGGGCCAGGAAAUCAGUAGGAGGCGCCCCUGUAUAGGCUUAAGCUUAGUGGACCCCGCAAGCGCGUGGGGAAACUAAUUCUGUGGGAUGCUCCUGUAACCCAGCCAUGGAAUCGCCGUGGAUUCACAAUAUGGGUAUAUAUAAUCAUGUUGUACUUUCUCUAUUUUAAAUCAUAAAUAUAUUAUUUUGAUUUCUCUACAACCAUAAGUUUUACUAUAUAUGUAGAGAUAGUUAUAUAUCUAGAUGCAUACUAUCCCAUCUCACUGAAAAUGUCGUUUUUGACUUUUAGACUUUUCUUUAACCGUUCAUCUUAUUCAAAUUUAUUGUAUGAAUAUUAUCUAUUUUGUUAUAACUUAUUUUAAUAUUAGAGAUAAUAAUUAUUUUAUUAUUUAUAUAAAAUUUUUGAAUAAGAUAAACGGUCAAAUGAAAAGUUAAAAACGACAUUUUUAAUGUGACAAAGGGAUUAGUAAGAGCUAUGCACCUAGAAAAUCUAUAACGGCUUAUAAUUUAGAACGGAGGGAGUAACGUAUAAGACUGUUAUAUAAAAUUAGAAACAGUAGUUAAAAAUAUAAUUUUUUCAUAUAUUAGAUAGCUAUAUACAAGCACACAUGUCGUGAAUCCAUGACAGAUGGCCACAGCUAUCCCAUGACAACUGUAUUUUUUCAAACAUGGCGUACAACAAGAAAAAAGGAAAUCAACACACCGUUGAUACUAAAACACGUAAAAGUAUGCGUUAACAUUGGACACGUCUCAUUUAACCCUCUUGCAUGCCCUCCACGUGAGUGCAAAUUACAUGGACCGAUGGGAGACGAAACGGUAGUCGGCAAAGUGUUGACGACGGUAGAUGUUGGCACUAGCUGUGCCAGAAAUCUGCAGUGGCAGCCGGUCUUCUCUCUCUAGUCUUUCCUUUUGCAAGUGAGGAAUUUUGAUUUUGGUGCAUCUUUUUAUCUUCAUGGCUUCCUUCAAAACAGUUUGGAGAGUGACAAAGAUCCUAUUUGCUUUUAGUGGAGAAUAUUCCAGGAAUGCCUACAAAACAUGUGUUCAAUGUAACAAUGAGUAAUCCAUUUAGUUGUUGACGAUGAAAUGUAACAAGAGAACAUGUGAUGAAUGUACCUGCUGCACGGUUGGAAUUAAAUCUUCUUUUAUUUUUGCAUUUUUUUUGUAUUGAAUAGCUUGAAUAGCUCGAAAAAACCCCAAGUCUAGAAUGUUAAAAUCUGGAGAAUUGGGUGGUUGACAUAUAAGCCGAAUGUCGAACCCAUCUUGUUUAGCAACCUCACAAAACUGAGGAUCAUCAACUUUUAAAUGAGAAGGUGCAUUAUCUUGUUGUAUGAAAAUAGGCUUGUCCACAUCCUCUCUUGGCCACUUGGCUUGAAUUGCCGACAACACUUUAUUCACCAUGAAAUCUCUUAUCACAUCUCUUGUAAUUGAUUGAAUUGGCUUGACUACUAGAGCUCCACGUAGGCGAUUGCCACUAUCUCUAAUAGCUCUUUCAUAAGUGACAAGUGGAAAGCAACCUAUUUUGCCAUCAAACACACAUUCUCCAUCUCUAAAUUUUGGCCGAGCAACCACACACAAUAACAUGAUCCUAGGAAUAUAAUUUUUGUUCUUGCAAGUGCGAUGUGGUUCAUCUUCCUCGGGUAGCAAGUAGUAUUUCUCAGAUUUUUGACUAAGGUAGAACCAAUUCUCAUCAAUGAACACAAAGUCAAAAGAAUUCUUAAACUUUGGGUCAUCAAGCAAACCUUGCUCAAUCAUGUCAAUGCACCACUUCAACCUAGUCUUUUUGUUAGCAUAAGUGAGGUAGGGUUUGAUGCUACUAGAGUGGCGCCUAAGCAUUCCCCUCUUUAAAUAUCUUUGUAUCCUAGAUUUGCUAAUCCCAAGUCUACUAGAAACAUCUUCUAAGGUCAUUCGUUGCUUGAGAGCAAUGUUGCGCAAUUGUUCUAAGUCAAGAGGAAUCAACUUAUGACCCACAUCUACCCUUCUUUCUACUAGCAACCUCCACCGGAAUAUUAUUAGCAAGUUGGGUUUUACCUCUCUUCCAUAAGCGCUGAACCAAUCUAACUUUCAAUCCAAAUUUAUUAGCAACUAUUGUUGUAUCUUUCUUGCCAAGUUUGUCAUUCUUGCUUCUAGCCAACGUUGAGAUCAAAUCCAAAGUCAUUGUUCUCUAAUGGCAAGUUCAAAUCAAAUGCAACCAUAGCAAGAAAAUAGAAGUGGAAAAGGAAAGAGUGGAUGACGUUUGGAACACUGGAAGAGAAAUAAAGAAGGUGUCGCCGUUGUUGCAUGUUAAAUAGCCACGCUCUAGUAGACGGACGGACACUCUACGGGCUACAAAUCGCGCCAUCCAUCGUCGUAGCGCCCAAACGCGCGUCGUCGUCGCGCCCGUACGCGCGCUACAGUGCCAUGCAAAAUGACGUCGAAGAGAAAAAAGGCGUAGGCCAUGGUAUUCAAACCCCUGCCCUCGCUCACGCGCGCCUCGAAACCAGCCCUAGUAACCAGUAGAGAAGAGAAUUUUUCAUGUCUAGGGAACACCUUCGGCUCUAUUUAAUAAGGGCAAAACCGGAAGAUUACCUCUAAUUAAUGACUUCUUGGUAAGCACAAUCAUGUCCUAAACGUCAUCUAAUCCUGAUAUGGAGGGAGUAUUGGCGAGGGUAGACAUUUGUUGGCGCUAGCUGUGCUAGCUAGAUAGAGAAACGCCUAGAUAAAGGUGUUGAAUUACUUCACGCAAAGAAGUAGAGAUUGGGCAAGGAAUGGCUCACCUCUCUUGUGAUACACGAUUGACAGUCAUUGAUAUGUUUUAUAGCAUCAACUCCUUCGAGAUGGCAUCCAUCCAAAUGAUAUCUUUUCUCAACAAAAGGAGAGCCAUGUUGUUUUCAUGAUGUUGAUAGGGAACAUCAUGUUUCGACCAUGAGUAUUACACCUAGUUGUUGUGAACUUUAUGGCUUAUAGUCAUUCCCAUCUACCCCUCCCCCUCCUAAAAAAAGGGGGCAUGGAGUACAUAAUGUAACAAAAUUUGGGCUGGGCUUGGGCUGAGAAUUUUUUCUGGGUAGCAUGAUCUGUACCUAGGCCCUGCGCACUAAGGCUCAUUGGUCUUCGGGCCCACAGGAUGGCCAAGCUCAAUUUUCUUAGGUCUAAAUAUGACACAAAAGUAUGCACAAAAAAAUAGGCACAUCCUAUCUUACCAUCUUCGAUGUGCUCCAUGUGACUAUAUGAUGUAGAUUGAUGGGCAAUCAAAGUAUAUUUGGAGUGUUUGCGAGGGUAGGUUUUUGGUGUUGGUUGUUCUAGAUAGAGAAAUGAUGAGAUGAAAGGAUUGAGUGAGGAAGCUCUCAUCUAGGUCAGAUGACCUCGAGUUCAAUGCACCUUAAACUUGGUCACAUGCAAGUAAACACAAUGUAAAUCACCAUUGGAUCAUGGUCAAUUCGCUGAUUAGGCAUCCAAGCCAAAUUGGAGGCCAAACCAUAUCAUUUUUUAGUCCACCUCAAACUCCAAGAGAACCGCGCACUCCAAUCACCGUGAAAUCGCAUACCAAGUCUAAUUUCAACAUUUUAUAAGCACAGGGAAAGGUAGCGAUAUAAGUUUUCCAACGAAGAAAGUCCAUGUCUAAAUUCAAUAAGAGUUAACAGGAAUCAUCAAAAUAAGUAGGCACCUGAAAUAUUUUAAGGUGAUGCGUCACCAUCUUUUAGGUCGUUCGGUUGUGUAUCAUGUCAGAGUCCAUUAAGGAUGCCUGAUGGGUCCUCGACCACCUCUAAUACUAUAUAUUUUGUAGCCAUUAUCCAACUUAGGGUUUUGAUUUUGUUUUGAUGAAUAUGGCAUCUGACAUUUUCAUCAUAUAUCAUUUAACACCCCAGAGUCCAAACUGCAUAGAUCCACUCUGUACAUCGUAUAUCUCCUUUGUGCUUUGGAGCAAGUGCCACCAGUGGUAUUUAUAGUGAUAUGGAAGGUGUAAACUACUUAUAGACCAAAGAUGAGGAAAUUUUGUGGUGGACCCAAGUUGGCCGACCUAGGGGAGGUCACUUAACCCUUCGAUUCACUGACUUGAUCAAUGCACAUUUUGGAUGCAUUCUUGAUGGAGGCUCAAAGUUGGAAAUGUUGGUGGCAUCUUGGAAGCUAAUGAGCUAGGCCGAUGACCUAAUGGAGAUUGCCCCAAUCCCCCUUUGGACUCUAAUUUGUCUAAUUUCUAUGUGUAGAUGAUCAACAGCAUGUACAUUGCAUUGGUAAGGAAGGUCUUCCAAAUUGUGUUUUUUGCAUGGCGAAGGUGGGCCCAUUGAUCCAUGUGACAUUCCAUCUCAUCCACUCAAAAUGAAUCGACCUUGGUCAUUGUGUAUGAUGAUGGUCAUUGUGUUUUCAUGUAAUCAUCAAGUUUGAGGAUCAUUGGGUACAACCACAAGUUAGGCUACCUAGGUGAGGUUGGUCGAUCCUCCUAUGGGCCCAUCUUGCUCCAUUUUGUUCCAAUUUUUACCUAUGGCCAAAUACACACGAAAAACAUGUGGAACCCAAACAAAUAAAUCCUAUCACUAUAUGGAGGUGACCAUGGAAUAUGUAAUUUUAAUAUUAUGUUGAUAGUAAAAAUUUAGUAAUAAGAACAACAAAUAGAGGGCAUUGCUAGCACCAAUAUUAUCAUGUCAUGUUUCUAUAGUAUUCUUUCAAAGAAGCAGGAUAAGUUGGAAGAAGGGGGACAUUGUUUGUUAUUAUCGUGCACUAUAACAAUUGCUCCAUGUGACAGUUUGCUAUCAAGAAGGGGAGAAUGAUAGAACAUUAGUCCUUUGGAUACAAAUAUCCCUCCUCAAGAUGGGUGAAUUACUAGAGUUCAAGGAAGACAGUUUACUCUCUAAGUGACCUUAGUCUUAAGUACUUUUUUAUAUUAUGUUAAUAGAUUGCUAGCUAAUAAUGAUAUUAUUAUCCUUAGGGACUAUGGAGAUAUAAAGGAGUACUUGGAGAGAUGCAUGGAGGUGGAGAAGAUUGAGAUGGGUGUCCAAGCCAAGUUGGAGGCCCAAACCAUAUCAAUUUUGAGUCUACCUCAGACUCCAAGAGUCAUCCGCAUUAAAAUCAUCAUUCAGAUCGCACAUACGAGCUCCCUUUUUAUGUUCUGCAUUAGCAUGGAAAGCAAAGAAGAUAAGAAUUCCAAAUGGCGUCAGUCUCAUACUAAUUCCUUACAAGUCAUGAGGAAUCCUCAAAACCAGUGAGAGUCCAAAGUUUAUCAAGGUGCUAUGCAUCAUCUUCUGGUCAUUGAGCCAUUACCAUAUCAAAGUCCACUAAGGAUGCAUAUAGGGUACAUGGCUGCCCCUUAUACCGUAUAUUCACUAGAUAAUGACCAAGUUUGGGUUUAGAUUUUUCUUAGGUUAAUAUUUCAUCAAAUAAUAUCAUCAUACAUUAGUUUUAGGAACCCUAACUUGUGAAUUUAAUCAUUCUUCUACAGUUUGGUUUGUGUCAAUAUUGGUCUCUCUUGUGUUCUUGAUUCACAGACAGGGAUUAGCCUUCAUGGCUAGGUCAAUUGGGUAGAGCACAACUGAUGACCAGAGGAGAUGUGGUGCUAUGAUUGUAGGGGUUUAGGUCUUUGUGAUUUAAAAUCAUAUCAUGUGUGUCAAUUCUCCACCAAAUUAGAAGUUAUAUUCACAUUGAUAGCAGAACAUUGGGAACCCUCAUUCUCAUCAAGUCAGAAAAAAUUGCUUUGGUUAUCCUUCGAGCAAAAAUAGCUUUACACCCCAUAUUGAUUCAAGUCUAGGAGCAUUUAUGUACUUGCUUUGGUUUUUAUCUUAACUUUCUUUGUUCCUUGAACCCCCACUAUUGAGGAUUAUAUUUGUAAGUUGUAAAUAGUUUUAUCAAUAAAAUUCUAGUAGGGGGUAAAACCGUCAUGUUUCCUCAAAAAAAUUGCCACCAAAUUGGGAGUAAUCUUCAACUGAUAAAAGAUUGGGCACCCAUGUUUCCAUCACCUAGUACAACUCCAAAGUGAGAUAUAAAAGAAGCUAGUGAUAACUUAGCUCAUAUUAACUAAACUAAAAUUUUAGCACUUCAAAAUAGCAUAUCCUUUCCAAGGUGAGAGUCAAGUUCAGAUCACACUGUUAGUGUUGUAACAAAACACUUAUCCACAUGUGGUGGAUCACGUCCACUUGAUAAUGCUAUCAUCCCUAGUUGGGCUACCAUAACUAUUUAUGACACAUAAAGCAAAAGCAUCCAAGCUCUAUCCACAAAUGGAUGUUAUCUUAACAAUUCACAUGAUAUUACAUACUAAAUUACUUGAGAGCAUUGGUAUGCAAAUCCUUUAUGUUUACACAAAUUAGUGAGCUGCCUCAAGUUGUAUAUCGAUCCAUAGUAUUCCAACAACUCAUGCAACACUACAAAUAAGUAACACAAUAUUAUAGAGUUAUUUUUAUGAAAAGCAAGAAAAGGACAAUAAUCCUUGACAUGUAAAGUGAAGCUUAUUAGAUUACCUAACCCAACACAAACAACAAAAUUAGUUGCACAAAGGUACAAAAAUCCACAUCAACCAUUAAAUCAAUACGUAAAGUGAGUAAUGAGUCACAUUAUCCAAUAAAAUAUCUAUCAAAGUAGUAUCGUGCAAGCAUUGAGAUCCCAUAAAUGCAAGAAACUCUACCAUCAAAGCUAUAAGUAAUUCUCAUGUGUUUGCUUUCAUUCAUCACAAAACAUCCUUCUAUUGCUACCAUCAAUAACCCUUCUGCUUAGUAGUAUAGGUACCAAAUCAGAUCUGCAACAUCAAUUAUUAUUGAAAUCCAACAACCAUGAAGGAGGUUCUUGUGGUUUUUGCUUUCAUGGCUCUAGUAUCGAGCGCUGCCUGCACACAGAUAGGCGGUUGCACCUGUGGUCCACAACAAAGCCAUGAACAACAACAUCAUCCACAAAAACAGCAACAUCAACCACCACCACCACAACAACAACAACAACAACAACAGCAUCACCAACAACCACAGCACCAACAACAAAAAGUUCACAUGCAGCAGAAACAACAUCACCAACAACAAGAUGUUCAUGUUCAUCAGCAACAAGAAGUCCAUGUGAAACAACAACCACAGCACCAACAACAACAUCAAUGUGAAGGCCAGCAACAGCAUCACCAACAAUCACAAGGCCAUGGGCAACAACAAGGACAGAGCCAUGAGAAACAACAUCAACAACAAUUCCAGGGUCAUGAGAAGCCACAACAACCACACCAGCAACAAUGUCAGGGUUAUGUGCACCAACAGCCACCGCAACAUCAACAAUGUCAACAGGGCCAGGAGCAACUACAACAGCAUCAAUGUCAUUGCCAAGAGCAGCCAUUGCAACAACCAAAGCACUGCCAAAAAGGGUGUGAGCAGCAACAAACUACAAGGUGCAGUUCUAGCUACUGUAGUGGUAGCAUAAAUCUAAAAAAUUGCCAUGAAUUCCUCAGGCAACAGUGCAACCCUUUGGUAAUGCCUUUUCUCCAAUCACAUUUGGUACAACCAAGCAACUGCCAAGUGUUACAACAGCAAUGUUGUCACGAGCUUAGGCAGAUCGAGCCACAAUACCUUCACCAAGCGAUCUAUAGCAUGACUCAAUCCAUAAUCCAACAACAACAACAACAACCAUGUGAGUUUUGUGGAGCUCAACUAGCUACUCAAAGUGAGGUGGCGAUAUUGACGGCAGCGCAGUACCUACCAUCAAUGUGUGGCUUGUACCACUCAUGCUACCAAAACAAUCCAUGUAGCAGUAAUGAUGCUUGUGGUGUUCACAGUUAAAUUAUUGUGGCUAGCUAGCCGUUAUAGUCUUAUAACGGUGUAAAGCAAUAAAAUGCCAUACAUCAUGGUGUUUGGACAACGAUAUCUAAAUAAGAAUACUAUCUAUAAUGUGGCAUGUGCCUGUGGUGUCAACAACCUAGUCUUUGUGGUCAUAGUAGAUAGGGUAGUUUGUUGUUGAGCAUGGUUGCGCAUAUUAGUCAGUGUGUGGACAUAUGUGGCAUGUGCCUAUGGUGUGAGCGACCUGGUCUUAGUGGUCACGAUAGAUAGGGUACUUUGUUGUUGAGGCAUUGGCUCCUAAUUGUAAUCCUAUUUCUAUGUACAUAAUCCUAGCAUCUAAGCAUGUAGUUGGCCACAAUCUCAUGAUCAGCCUCUAGUGCUUUGGCACCUCGAUAUCUACCGUGGCAUGUGCAUGUGGUGUUAGCAACCUAGUCUUAGUGGUCACAACAGAUAGGGUAGUUUUCUGUUGGGCCAUUGGCUCCUAACUGUAAUCAUAUUUCUAUGUACAUGAUCUUAGCAUAUAGGCAUGUUUUUGUGUACAUGAUCCUAGCAUCUAGGAAUGGUGGCUAGCCACAAUCUCACGAUCGACCUCUAGUGCUUUGGCACCUCCAUAUCUACUGGCACACUGUGACAAAUGGAAAUUGAGCAUUCUCUAAUUUCCCUCUCUUAUAAUGGGAAUGGCAAGGACUACACACUCUAAUUUAUCACGUCAUCUACUUCUGAGGGGAGCUCAAAAUAAUGAGGCCGGUGGAUCUAGUGUAGCUCAAGAUAAUAUUUAUUUACUAAUGACCACCAGCCACACAAAUGUUACACCUUCUCAUACAAAGUCUUUUGUUGAGAUGCAACAUAAAAUGGUUGCCAUGUAGACUCAUCUUAUCUAGAUGCAAAGAAAGUGAAAGGUCCUAAUAUGGCUAGAGGGGGGGUGAAUAGCCUAUUUAAAAAAAAUUCUACAAACUCACUAGAGCAAAAGGUUAGUAAAUAACAAAGCCAAGCUUUUUGCUCUAGCUCUAAAGGGGUGUUUGCAAGCCACCUACCCAACAAUUCAAGUUGCUAAGAUCUCUAUGCACACAAGAACUAAGACUUUACAAGUUACACUAGAGAACUAAGCUACACAAGUCAAAGUAAGCAACUAAACUAAUUACACUAGUUUGCGGUAAGUAAAGAUAAGAUGAGAUAUUUAUACCGCCGUGUAGGGGAUGAACCAAUCACCAAUAUAAACAAUCAAGCACCGGGAGAAUGCCAAUCAAACACAAUUGAGACACCGAUUUUUCUCCCGAGGUUCACGUGCUUGCCGGCACGCUACGUCCCUGUUGUGUCGACCAACACUUGGUGGUUCGGUGGCUAAGAGGUGUAGCACGAACCUCGUCCUCACUAGGACACCACAAAAACCUACCCACAAGUGAGGUAGCUCAAUGACACGAGUAAUCCACUAAUGUUGCCUUUGGCUCUCCGCCGAGGUAGGCACAAACCUCUCACAAUCACCGGGAGAUGGCCACGAACAAUCACCAACUCGUGCCAAUCCUCCUCCGCUGCUCCAAGCCGUCUAGGUGGCGGCAACCACCAAGAGUAACAAGAAAACCGCAGCCAAAUCGAUCCCCAAGUGCCACUAGAUGCAAUCACUCAAGCAAAUGCACUUGGAAUCACUCCCAAUCUCACAAAGAUGUUUAAUCUAUGAAGGAGAUGAGUGGGAGGAGUUUGCUUAGGCUCACAAGGAUGUCAAGUAUGUUAGAAUGCCAAGAGUAUGAGCCCCAAGCCGGCCAAACACAUAUUUAUAGCCCCUCAAACAAAUAGAGCCGUUGGCUCUUUCACUGGGCAAAACUCGGGGUCACCGGACGCUCUUAAAGGGGCACCGGACGCUCAACACCAGCGUCCGGUGCUCCAACAACAGCCGCGUGUCAGAGCCUAACGGUAACCUGCAGAGCACCGGACACAAGCCACCGGACGCACCCUCAGCGUCCGGUGCUCACCGGACCCAUGCGCAGAGGGUUCCGCAAACUCGCAGGUUCACCGGACGCAAGCCACCGGACGCACCCUCAGCGUCCGGUGCUCACCGGACCCAUGCGCAGAGAGGGUCGCAAAACGCACGCACACCGGACGCACACCACCGGACGCUCAAGCCAGCGUCCGGUGCCUAUCGUCCGGUGCCUUACCCUAGCUGGGCCAGGCACUGUCUGCACACCGGACGCUCAUACACAGCGUCCGGUGCCUCUAAGCCAGCGUCCGGUGAGUGUUUUCUCAGCGAGAAACACUCCCGCGACUUCACCAAAUUUCCCUCCGGCGCAAUAGAAAAUAUGCACUUCAUUUUCUCGAAAAGCGCCGAAUCCCGCCUCGCAAGCUCGGCGGGAGGGAGAGAGGAACCCAUCCUCUCUUAACCCUUCAAACUUCAACACCCUUCUCAAAGUGUGCCAACACCACAAUGUGUAAACCAACAUGUGCACGAGUGUUAGCAUUUUCACAAUCAUUUUCUUCGAAGGAGUUAAGUUAGCUCACUAGGUUUUAAAUGCAUGCACAUGAACAAUGACACCUAGUGGCACUUGAUAACCGCUUAGCCAAAGAAUUCCCCUCUUUAUAGUACGGCUAUCUAUCCUAAAUGUGAUCACACCCUCUAUGGUGUCUUGAUCACUAAAACCAAAACCCUAAGCAAUACCUUUGCCUUGAUCUCCAUAGGGUUUGUUUUUCUCUUUCUUCUUUUCUAAGUUGAGCACUUGAUCAUCUUGUGGUCAUCACCAUCAUCACCAUGAUCAUCACUUGCUCCAUCACUUGGCAUGUACCAACCUUAUUAAGUCUACACACACUUAGUAUAGAGGUUAGUACUUAGGGUUUCAUCAAUUAUCCAAAACCAAACUAGGGCUUUCAGAAAGGAGUCAAAGAAGUUUCGAUGCUUAGCAACAUUGUCCUGACAGCCAACACGAGGCUCUCACUUCAUCCAUUAGAGGGCAGAUGCCCUUCUUGACCAACCGAGGAAGGACCAUGCUAAGACAUCCUCUCAGUUGAACUAUAUGUAUCCACAGACAAGCCUUGGACCCCCUCGAUAUUGGCAAUCCUUAGCUUGAAUAAUUUUAUCACUAAUUUCCAUUCAAGAUAAGAAUUAAAUUACAAUCACGAUAGUCGAUAGUUAUAGGGUUUAAUUAUAAUCAGUUCUACAAGUUUGGCGGUCAUUUGAACUAGACAUUUUUUGCCCAAACAGGGGUCGGACAACCAAGCCCAUGGUAUGUUGAUGUUAUACCCGGUUUUAAGAAUAAAACAAGAAUCAAUUUGCAAACAUACAUCAACAUCAUAAGUGAAGAACAAUUUAUUAAAUAAGCAAAAAUAUAUAUUGGUUUUUGUUUCCUAAAAAACAAGUUUAGUCUAUGAAGAAUCAUAACUAAUUUAAUUUAGACCGGACAAAUACGAAGCUACUAGUUAUUUUUAAAACAUGAUACCUAUCAAUUGGUGAUCUAUUAAGGUCUAUUUUGGAACUUAUUAUUUUUUGUACAUAUUGUUUUGUUGCUCGUACUGAAACACUAAGAACAUGCACAAAUACAGUUCAAAUAACUCAAAAAGGAACACCAAUAGAUAGGUAACAUUUAAAGCAAAAAAUAUAAUUGUGACAUAUUUUUAUAAUUUGAGAUAAUUACUUAAGGGUCUGUUUGGAUAUCAACUACCAAAGCAGGAGGCCCUACCUAUAGUUCUCUCAAUUUGGCAGCGCCUCGUACGUGCUUGGUGCCAUAACCAGAUAACCAUGUUGUGCUGAUUGCAAAAAGAGCAUUGUGUGUACACUAAUCAGGGAUAGCAGAUAGUAGUGCGCAUUGUGACCGGUCUCAAGGCACCACUACUUGUCUAAAACAAGUCACAAGUUUCAAACGUCGGAGAUUGGUCAGUGGUCUCCUCUCCUGGUCGAGUAUUUCUAUUCUUUUCUUUUACUAGCAAAACGUGCCCGUGCGUUGCAACGGGGUAUAGAAUUUAUUAUUUGAUAAUUGUACACUUUUUGUAAAAUUUAAAUGAGUUUAGUCCAACCUGAAUCAAAUAAAUAUAACCCCACCAAAACAAACAAAACUACCAAACUAAUAUCGAAAAUCACCUUGAGAAGAAAUAGAAAAAAAAUCAUGUCACAUAAAAAAAUCAGAAAUCUUUAUGUACAGUGGAGGAAAAGGAGUAAAAAAUGAUAUAAAAAUAUGUAUAGAAAUUAAAAUGGGAAGAAUAUUACGUAAAGAAAACAUAAAAGCAUCAGAUGAGGGAACAAUUCCAUCAAACAGCACGUCAGAUCACUCCACUUUUAUUGUCGCUCAGUGCAAUCCAAAGCAAAACCCGCGGCACAGCUAGUGACAAAAGCCUACAGCCACAGCCGCCACAUAAUAAUACAAUUAAUAGGUAACGGUUCUCAACAUCCUUUCAUCAUAGCAUUUGUUUGAGACAUACAUGAACAAAGCAUAUGUAAUUCCGUAUGAUUAAGAGAAAAUACCUUGUGGCCAGCAUUGAUGCAUCACAAGAGAAGGAACAGCCGAUGAGAGGGCGAUCAUCUCCAAUCUCGCUAUACUCCAGGACAAACUUCUCAGCCUGCUUCACGACGAGUUCGGCCUCCGCCUCUAGGUCUUCAUCGGAAUCCUCGUGGCAGCGCUUGGCCAUCUCAAUCCUGGCCUUGGCACGGGGUAGCGAGUAUUGUGCAAUGUCGACACGCGCCUUGAGAAGCUCCUGUGUGCCCUUGGUGAAGAAGGGGUACUGGAUCUGCUCCUCCUCGCUGGUGCGUGCAGCGUGGUUGUCCUCCUGCGCGCGGAGACGGUCGACCUGGCCAUCGGCCUCGAGCCGGACCAUGAGGGCUCGGAGGCGGUCGUGGCGCUCCAUUUCGCGCUCGCCGAAGCGGCGGAGGCAGGCCCGCACGGCCAUGGCGUAGGCACGGCGCCGCUAGAGGAGCUCCUGCACCGAUUGCUCGUGACACUACCACGCGGCGCGGUGGUCGUCGGAGACCUCGUAGUCGGCCUCGCCUCUGCCCCUGGCGGAGGAAGUGGCGGCGGCGGGACGGUGAUGGGGAUUGGCAGGUGGACGGGGACGGGGAGCGGAGCCAUGGGAGGAGUGGGGGCCGGGGGCCACAAUUUUUUUUAAAAAAGUUGCUUUUCCUCAAUUUGGUAAUAUUGCAACGGAAGAAAAAUAUCAAAUAACCUUAGAAAGUGAUGACAUAAUGUUACAUAUCUAUUUAUAUUUAUCCUUUUUAUAAAAUUUAAAGUCCAUAAUUUAUUUUAUUAAUAACCAUAACAUCUAUGGUAUUAGAUAGUUAAUAUUUACAAUAAUAUGUAGCUUAAGGACAUAUUUAUUUAAUAAUAAAAAUAGAAAAUAGUUAAAUCUUAUCUCACUCUAAUAUUACCUCUUAAUAUGCCUCAGUAUUAUAUUAAAACAUGAGAAAUUUGAUGCUAGCAUUAUUUUUUAAUUUAGAUUAAGAUUGCUAUGAAAUAUGAAUCAAGCAUCACAUUAAAUAGGCUACCAUUAAAUUUUUAUAAUAAUUGGAGCAAGAUAACUAUAAUUUUAAUUUUACAGUAAAAAGCAUAGGCAAGCAUUUUCAAAAAAAAGUGUACUAAAAUUUAUGAUAUUUUUUGUUUACCGCAUGGAUCUACAUAUGUGGAGCUGAACAAAAUUUGUUUUAUAAUUUUUAGAUUUUUGUAUGAAUUAUUAUGUAUUUAUUAAUUUUCAGUCGAUUUAAAAAAUAAAAGAAAAGUAAAUUGGAGAUUUUACAUUGGGAACCUAGAAAAUUUUUUAUUUUUUUUCUCUCUUCCAUCGUAACGAUUCUGGGCUGAUUGGGCCUACAGAGAGGAGAGCGAAAGCGAAGUAAUAUGAGAUUUUACAUUAGGAACCCUAGAAUAUUUUUUAUUUUGUUUUUCCCCUUCUAGAAAAGUUGGAUGGAGGAGGCCAUCGGUAAACCGAACACGGACAAGAUCAGGGGCAAAAGAAAAUAUUUGGCAAACUAAAAUUUUGGCUCUUUAUAGAUAGGUAUAGAUUUGGGUUAAGAACAGUAGUCGGACAUUCCACUUUGUUAAGUUCUUUUUUUACAUAACAAGAAUAGAAUCACGCUCUGUAGGCUCGUCAGACCGUACCUUUCUAAGGAAGUCGCUUUGGGUAGUUCAGUUGGCGAGAAAAGCCUUCCUACCUUUGCAGGUCCAUCGGGCCGACUACAACCCGUGGCUCAAUCCCGGUUCUUGCGGUGUCUUGGCAACAUUCUUGUUGGAAGAUACCAGAAGGUUGCUCCACGGGUAAUCUUGACACGUAUGUAAAGUGAUGAGGAACAUUGAACGAACAUUGGCAUGUAAAGCUCUAUAAAUUGGUGUUAUCCAUAACAACUCGCAGAACAUCACAAAAUUGCACGUCAAGGGAUUGGGUCAGAAACAAAUCGUCUCCGUGUACAACGAAGUGGUGAGUCAUGAGCCAUGUUGAUCUGAUAUAUACAUAGCACACACGACAUCACAAACAAGUCAUACUACAUUACAGAGUUAGUUUCAACUUUCAAGUAAAAACAAAGUAGGCCGGAGAGAGGACAAUAAUCCUUGACGUGUAAAGUGAAUUUACAAAGCCAUAUAUCAAUUUAUAUCUAAUUCGUUUCAUGUAGAUAUCAACAACCUGUAAAAGGCAACAAAUUGAGCCACGCAAAAUUACAAGUGAGUCCAAAUAAACCCUCACAUGCUACAUAAAAGUGAAUGAUGAGUCAUGUAUAUCUGGCAAGAAACUGUAGAAGCUACAGUCAUCGGUAGCAAAGAAACACAAGAAAAUGUGCUAAUAAAAGCUAUAAAUAACCCUCGUACGCCUAUGCACAUCUCCAUCACCACCACUGGUCUUCAUUCAGCCUAUUAACUUAUAUCUAUCUACUCCAGAGCAGACAAGAACUCGACACCAUGAAGGUGUUGCUCGUUGCCCUCGCUCUCCUGGCUCUCGCGGCGAGCGCCGCCUCCACGCUUACAACCGGCGGCUGCGGCUGCCAGACACCUCAUCUACCACCACCGCCGGUUCAUCUGCCGCCGCCGGUGCAUCUGCCACCGCCGGUGCACCUGCCGCCGCCGGUUCACGUGCCACCGCCGCCACCACAAUGCCACCCACACCCUACUCUACCGCCCCACCCACAUCCAUGCGCUACAUACCCACCGCAUCCAAGCCCGUGCCACCCAGGGCAUCCCGGAUCCUGCGGUGUUGGCGGCGGCCCCGUCAC